rnacentral:lncRNA from 1 species
GAGUAACAGGUGGAGUUUUAAUCAAAGGAAGGUGUAUUUGAGACCAAGGAAAGAGAAAGAGAAAGAGAGGUGAAAGAGAGGCAUUUACAUGUGAAUGAAAGAGAGGUAUUUGAGACCAAGGUUGUUGGUUUUAUCUUUACGUUUGGAUCAUAUACUUAGAGAGUUAGAGGUCAACGAUUUUUGGGUAUCAUAUUUUUUUUUUUUCCUGGUAAGGUUGCUGUCUCUUUAUGAGCAACGUCUUUCAUUCAUCUAAAAGCAUCUCUUAUUUCUUUAUGUGAUUAUCUCUCCCCCAAUACCUAUCCAAAAUCUUAAAUAAUUCUCUUGCAUGUUCCAUGAAUGGCAAGGUUGUUGGUAUUUACUGCUUAUAAUAUGAAAAUGAGGUAAGCUAAAUUAGCCAAUAUUUGGUGUCAACAGAAAUAGUGAUACAGGUCUAUAGGUUAUUGGGUAAGGUAUAUCGAUCAUCUGCUCUAUAGAUGUGUAUGUCAUACAUACACUAAUAGGAGCAUGUGGCACGUGUCUUGCAGGGGGCUGUGGGUUAUUGUUUAGGAUUGAAAUGCAGGUUGUAUCCCAUACACAUGUAGGAUAGAAUUUUCCUUAUCACCUUGUGAUCUUGUUUCUGCCUUUGCCAAGGACCCAACGGUAUGACUUGUUAACUAAGAGGUUAGCACUUGUUUUAGAAAGAAAAAGAUGGUUUGGUUUAUCAGGUUAGUCACUUAGUCAUUCGUCAAAGGAUGCAACUAGUUCUUUUAUAAAUGUGCUUUGGCAAGUGAGGAGUAAUUACGGACUCGAUCCUUUUACAAGUUGAGAUGUGGUGGACAAAUAUCGGUUUGGUACGUUUCCCGGCCUUUGUUUAAUUAUUAAACUAAGUGAUUACAUUACUAACUACUCACAAAUGAACAAAUAAACAUACAGCCCCCUUCCAUUGAGGGAUCCCUAUUUUUGGCCACUUUCUAGGGAUAGGACAUUACACCACUUCCUAAUUGAAUUUUUACAUCUCCACCGUUCAUAUCUUAGGUCUAUAUGAGUAGAUCACCUCUACAAAAUUUCAUAUGAUUUGGUGAUCGUUAAGGCUUUCAAAAGUUUGAUUUAGUUUUAAUGAUCUUGAACGGUCCAGCUUAUGUCAAACUAAAACCGUUGAAGGUCAUUAAAACUAAAUUGAACUUUUGAAAGUCUUAACGAUCACCAAAUCAUAUGAAAUUUUGUAGAGGUGAUCUACUCAUAUAGACCUAAGAUAUGAAUGGUGGAGAUGUAAAAUUAUAAUCGGGAAGUUGGUGUAAUGCCAUAUCCCUAUAAAUGGCUUAAAAUAAGGAUCCCUCAUUGGAAGGGCCCUGAAUAAACAUAUAUCUCCAGCAUUGAGAUUUAGAAAUUGAUAUAUUUAGCAAGCAAGAAUUUUGAAAUUUAGGUAUCAAUUUAACAAGGUUACUCCAUCAGUCAUUGCUAUUUAUUAUGUGUUAACAAAUAGUAAAAUGACACAUGACAAGAGAUGAGAAAGAAGAUUUAGCUAUUGCUUUAGUUAUGCAUGUAUCAUUGAUAAAUUUGUCAAUUUCAUUUAACAAUUAUCAAAUUUAGCAAUGGUUUAUGUAUUUUAUUGGAGCAUCAAUUUACCUCAAAAAUUGACAAAUUUCACUUUUAGCAACACUUUUAAGUAUCACAACUAAUUGUAUGAGAAUAAAAUUACAAAAGAAACAGUACUCGAACCUGAAAUUUUGCAAGGUUACAAAUACUUAAAUGCAAAAAUUAAAAUACAAAAAGUAACUCAAAAUUGCUUCUUACUCUUCAAUAGAUAAUCUAGAAUAAUGAAAUUUACAUAUCCUCAAUUACAAUCCACAUACACUGACCCAUUUUUAAUUGUAGAAUUGUCAAAAAUGUCCAUUACACGGACAAUUUUAAGAGAAAAAAACAGGGACAUUUUAUAGUAAAAAGUGUCAUGGUGUGUGCAAUGAUUGUGAUUAAGGGUGCAAAUUUCAUUUUCCAUAAUCUAUUAUCUCACACUGUUUCAAAAUGGCUCUACAGUUUAGAGAGAGAACUAACCAUCUUAGGAUUAAAUCUAGACAAGGUUUGGCUAUUAUAGGCUAGCUAAUAACACCACCAAACAACAUUAAAAAGCCAAAAAAAAAAACAAAAAACCUCAGUGAUUUGCACUAAAGUAGCUCACGCAAUUCUUGUAGUAUGUUAAUUAUCUACGUCUGUGCUCUCAAAGACGUCAAACCAUAAUCUGGUGGGACUCUUUGUUGCAAGAAUGAGGAUUUAACAAGUACCUUUAAUACCUUUAAAUCAACAGUUGCGUAACUUUUGAACCAAUAUUCAUCUAACCGUUUAUUUAAAAAUAGAAUUAGGUAUCGGAACAGUUUGGGUCUUAGCAAAAAUUUUCAGGCCCAAAUUCCAUUUCGAUGUAAAUUAAGCCUAAGCCCACCACGUUAUUAAACCAGCUCACUUUCCUCAACUCCUCCCAGCUUAGAACCAAGUCAUUCCCCUCUGUCAAAUCCUUCACCAGCCACCAUGGCUGUCCUCGCAACCACAUGGACGGCGGCGAUCUUCCUCAUCUUCACAACGCUGCGUUUAAUCGAAUGCGGCGACAACAACCGCGUCUACUCGCCGUGCUCCGACACCAAGGUCGCCAGGUCCGACGGCUUCAGCUUCGGGAUCGCCUUCGCGUCCAAGGACGUCUUUCUCCGUAACGGCGCUAACUCCACCUCGCAGUUGUCUCCCUGCGACACCAGGCUCUCUCUCUCCAGCGCCAACUCUCAGAUCGCCGUUUUCCGGCCUAAGGUCGACGAGAUCUCCCUCCUCUCCGUCAACUCCUCCUCUUUCGCUCCGGUUCGUUCUCUCUGUCUCUUCUGUUCCAUUUCGUUUUAGUGCUCCUUUGAAUUUGUGAAUUGCUUAGGGUUUUGAUGGGUUUAGGGUUGAUGUGGAUUUUUAGGUUGAGAAUUGCAAAAUGUUAGUAUCAGUUUUGAAUGUUUAGCAAGAUUUAGACUUGAAUGUAAUGAAAGUAUCAAAUUUUAGUUAUGUUUGUGAAGAUUUUAGUGGAAUGUGAGGCUAGUUUUGAAUUCAACCAAUUUAUUGUGGUUUUCGGGUUUGAAUUUGCAGGAUAAUUAUGGUGGAUAUAUGGUUGCUUUUGCUGGGCAUAAGUAUGCUGCAAGGUCUACUGCGGCUUUUGUUGCCAAUUCGACCUACACUGUCACCAGCUUUACUCUGGUAAGUAAGGACAUUACAAUUGGAAUUAAAGAUUUGAAUUUGAUAAUGUCGUUUGUGGUUUGUGGUUUAGAUUAUUUAGUGAAUGUGUUUUUAUAUAUAUGCAGGUGCUUGAGUUCACCAAGGGCAGGCUGCAGAACCUGUACUGGAAAAGAGAUGGGUGCGCCAAAUGUUCAGGGAACUCCAGCUUUGUUUGCCUCAACAACCAGGACUGUGCAAUCAAGACUAACAGCUGCAAGUCCCACGGAGGCACUGUUGAUUGCAGCCUCGGGAUCCAAUUGGCGUUUUCAGGGACGGAUAAGCACCUUUCAGUUCUGAACUCAUGGUAUGAAGUACAGAACCUUGGUCAGUAUUCCCUUUAUGGUCUCUAUUCAAAUUUGAAGGAUUCUCUCACUAGCCAGUAUAACAAGUUUUUCUGAUGUAAAACUGUUACUGUCAUAUUCGUGUAAUUUUUUCACUACCCACUCACUAGGUUUGAUUGUUCACUUUCGGUGUGUUUUGUUUGUAUGCCGUUGUAAAGUAAAUUAACUUUGAGGAUCAUUGUGAUUAGAGGAAAGAGAGAUGAUUUCGGUUAAGUUUGUUUGUGAAACUCAACUUUUUCUUUGUUGGUUGAAUAUCCAUUACUGCUUGCAGCUUUAGGAUUAUUGCUUGUUAGCAUAUAGGAUUUAAGUGACUUCUAGAGUUUCUUGGGACCUAAAACAACAUAUGUGCUCAGCGCCGAUUUUUCAGUGUUACAAAUUAACAGUACUGGGUUCUGCUGAAACUGUAGUGAUAUCUGAGUGUUUGGUUGUUUCUUUGACAAAGAUAAUGAGAUCCGAAUUCCCAAUAUCAUUUCUCAAACUUCGGAAGAAUCAAUUUUCCUGUUUUGGGUUAUGCACUCUCACAUGCCCUCGCAUGUAACAUGACUCGAGUCAAAUUUGUGUACACCUAAACAUUGUUGAGUGGACUUGAGAGCAUCCUACUUCAAUAUUAAUUGGCCAUUGGUGGGACGAAGGUAUAUAAAUGAAACAUUCAGCUGUUCCUGCCAUUCCGGCAACCACCUUUGAGAUUGUGGCCACCUGAAAUUUCUUAGGUAAAGAGGAUCCUGGGUUUGUGCUCAAUAAGGGUACUCUCAGAUUGGACGUCCUGAAGAAGUCCACGAUGUCUUAUGAGUUUUGAUAAGUAGCCACGAUGAGUGUGCUCGGGGUAUGUUCACAACUGUCACCUCUGUCUCUAGGAAAAGAGCUGCACUCUUUUGCGUGCAAAGGUUGCCUCACAGAAGGCCUGUUUGUUGCUUGUAUCAGUUGUAUGUAGGCAUGAUUCGUGAAGUGGUCGCAUAGAACAAUAUCAGUGUGGUAUAAGACUAUGAGCCUGAAAAGGCAGUGAAUUAUGUUCUGCUUUCAUACUUGUAUGCUGCAUCUGGGAAUUGGAAUGCUGUCAUUGCUGUGAUAUGUGUGGAAAAUCAAGUAAACUUGGAUGUGCACCUAUAACCUAACACUCUUAAACUGGGGAAAGUAUAGAUUAAAAUAUUGAGGAAGCAUAGUGAAAGGCUUGCAAUCAUCGAUUAUCAUAAAUUAAGAGUGGUGAAUCACUGGGAGUGCAUAAAUCUGCGCAUUUGCGUAAAUUAUCACUAUCCAGCUAAAUUUAACUCGGGAAUAUUGAAUGGGAGAUAAAUGUCAGAGACAACAAACACUUCCCAUCAUUUCAAAGAUGGCUUAUGUUUCUGUGGAGGUUGUUGCUAAAGGUCAGUGUAGAAGUUCCAAGAGCAUAUCAUGUGAAAGAGAUCGAAGCUGCAGAAAUGAUUGCCUCCGCUUACUAACAUUUCAGUACUUAAUGUAAGUAGCAUCCAAAAAUAAUUACUUCCUUGUAUGAAAUUGUAGCAUGUUGCACAACACAUGUUUGUUACCAUUCAGUUAUUCUGAAUUCUUUCUCUACCUUAAUUCAGAUCACAUAAUAGUUAGAGAGACAAUCAGACAAAGUAGAUAGAAACAGCAGUGAUGAAGUAGUGCUUUGGAAAAUGAAUAUGAGGAUCUGAGUGGAAUCUAGAAAGCAACACAUAAUUGUGCUUGAAACACUUCUUUUCGUAGUCCAUUUUUAAUUUCUUUAUAUCUUUUGGUGGUGUUCAGCUCAAUAUCAAAUUUUGAUCACAGAGGUAAUUACAACAACAUUAAAAGGAAAUGAAAUUGUAAUACAUACUAAGAAGAGAUCGGAAUGUUGGAGUACCUGAGAUAUUUCUGGAUAGCUGGAGUUGAUGCAUAUACUUAUGAAGCAGAAAGAAGGGAUUACAAGCAAGAGUGCAAGCGCCUAAUCGAUAAAAACUGCGUGCGAGUAAACUCGGAUAAUUAGAGAACCUUAUCAGUGGCUGAUGAUGAAAAAACUCCACUAUUAUAUUUGCCCAAUCUAAGUUGCAAUGCACAACUGGUUGCCUGGUUGGAGAUCACCACCAAAGUGAGCUUGCCUUGGCAAUGUUGCCAGGAGAAAGAAAAAAAAUUACUCAAUUGACGCUUUUAAAUAGUUGAAGACGUACCAGUUGAUGAAUGAUGGCUACUCAUUGACUCAACUGUUACAGUUUAGGAUAUAUGCAUACCUUUAACAGCAUCAAUUCUACUCUCUUACCAGAAUAUAGUUACUUCAUCACUACUUUUUAACUUGCCUUAAGUUGUGAACUGGAUUCUUUAUGCUGUUAACAGAAGCUGAACAUGUUAAUUAGUUCCUCUUUGUCUAGAUAGGUGAACUGGCCAAACCAGCAUCCAACUUAUACUAUUAAUUACAGUCGAAACCUUUGCUAACAUAUCAAAUGGGAAGCAUCUGGUAAAGUAGAGAUGAUCGAUUGACGUAUAUAUGAUUGUUCCUUUAGAUUUUCCAGGACCUAUAUUUAGGGUACUUUACAUAACUAAACAUAUGCUGUUGCAUGUUCACAAAUUACAGCAGCAAAUGGACCCAACAUUAUAGAAUCAUACCCGAUCGAUCAACAUCUUAAUUUAACGCAUACAAAUGAGUUCAUAAACUAGGUUAUAUUUAUCUCUUAAAAACUUAGAAUCAUGUAUCUGUGACUGUAUACGAGAAAGAAAGAAAAGGAAAAAAGCAGACCGUAUCUGUAUAAGUCUAUAACACAUAUAUUAACACUCAUGAAGCAGUUGAAGCUUGGCUCUAAGUCGAUUUGGGCGUCGGUGGUGGCAUUUCUACAUUUCGCUGCAGAGGGGAUAUCAGAUCUGAAAGGAUGACUUGAAGUGACGAAACUCUUUCUUUCAGUUGAGCGUUCUCCUGGAGAACAUGUUGAUUUCCCUCCAACAGUUGAAUGAGCUUCUCGGAGAGCUGACGAUUUGUGAUGUGAAGCUGGUCCACCUGAUGCUGCAGCUCUUCAAUCUGCUUCUUUUUCCGCAUUCGUGACCUUCGUGCAGAUUCCCUGUUGGAAAUCAUUCUCUUGAUCCUUUUCUCAUAGGUAAGGCCUUGCUCUCCGGCAGCAGUUGCUUCAUCAAAAACAGUGUCAUUGUUAAGAGAAGAGCCGUUCGACGAAAAAUCAUGGAUAUGAGACAUGGAGAAAAUCCGAGUUGGGUAAAAUGGUAUGGAAUCUGGAUUCUGAGUAUGGUUUUGAAGGGAUAGUAGUGAAUGGUUCUCCACAACUUCAACUGCCUGCAUAUUGUGGGGACUUGAGUAAAGAUGGGAUUGUUUAGUACUGGGGAGAAGUUGAGGUAAGUAAUGGUUUCCCUUUGAUUCAUUUAUAUCCAUGAAAGAACUUUGAGGGAAAGAGAAAAAGAGAGAAAUCUUAGAUGGGGUUUUAGGGAAAGAACCAGACUGAUGAUAAAUGUUUUGGAGAAGAUAGCAACUAUAUACAUACAUUUCUUGACCUACACGGUACUGAGAGAGUUUAACUGUAAUUGUGAUUUAUUGAUGCAAGGACGUAUUCAAUCGGCUUUUUGUUUUUCACCAAAAUCCUCAAAAAUAUUUGAAGGCAAUACCUAGAAUACCUAGAUAUAUGUUCAUUCUAGGAUAUUACGUGCAAUUGUGAAAUGACUUUGUGUAGGUGAUAUCAUUCAUUUUCAUUCUGGGAUGGCUUAUUUAGAUUACUUACUUGGAACGUCUCUAGUAAUGGUGCUUAUCAUACAAUCUAGGAUUUUCUAUAAAUGUAGGGAAAGGAAUUCAUGGAGAAUAUGAUAAGGUUGCUCUUGAAACUACUGAAAGACUUCAAAUUAAGGUAUUUUGUGUGCUAAUGGUUCAUACCUAUGUGAAAAUGUGAAUCAAGUAUGGAGCUCUAUACAUAAAAAGCAAGUCUUCUUUUGGGGAAGGCGAGAAAACAGGUUAGGAUUAUACCAUGUCAAGAUUUAAUCCGUUUUCGAUGUAUUCAAAAAUAGCAAGUCUAGUGCUUUUGAGACACAAAUGAGUUUUGUUCUUUGGUUUUUCCAUGAACCAAUUCAAGCAACUGAAGCAAGAGUGCAUGAUGUUAUUAAGAAGAAACAAACAAAAUUUUUCCAGAAAAACAAAAAAGAAUUGAAGAAGAAAACAUAAUUCAUGGGCAUCAUCUUCUUCAUUUUGCUAAAAUUGUUACAUAAACAUAAAAUUUUAUAUGACUUUUGGUAGUUGGCUUCAGAAUUUUGUCCAAUGUUUUGACCAACAUUAAACAAUAAGCAUCACCUGGUAUGCUUUUAUGGUUUUUACUAAAAUUGCUCCAAAGAAGAUAUAUACAGAUCGAAGGAAUAUGCAAUAAGUGGAUAAAUUCACAUGAGUAUGUUCUCCUUAAAGUUUUAUCUGUGGAAACUUUAUGUUGAAUAACUUGCGAGGUAAGAAGUGUAUUUUACUUUAAUACCAAUAUUAUCAUAUUUGUAAAACAUUUCCAAUAUUGGCAUUGACAUUGACACAGAUGAAGGAAAUUUUCCUCUGUGAGUGUGAAAUAAACACAGAGCAUUUGAAGAUCGAAUAGAACACUGAUGCAGACUCAACGUAAAAUUUCGAUGUGAACAACAUACGUACUCGUUCAAUUCAUGAUUAUCAUUAUUAUCAUCUUAAUCUCUGCCAGGUUAAUUGUGUGUCAAACAAUAUGUUGCUUUAUGAAGUCAUCUCACAAGUUAUAGAUCAAAAUCAUCAAACAUUCUUCAAAAUGUUGCCACUUUAUUGCCUUUUAUGUAUGUUAGAAUCUGUACAAUUUUCAACCCACAUAAUGCAUACCUUACCCAGAAGAAAAACCAUGUAGUACAGAAAGUCAGAAACCAUCAAGAAUAUCAACAAAGGGAAGAUAUAACGUACAAACAGAACAACAAACUGUACAUACGAAACAAAGUAGGCAUCAGGAAUUGAGCUCGGCUAUUCCGCGAAACAAAGUAGGCAUCUCAUAACCGAGUUCUCUUUCCGCGAACUAUUCAUGCUUGCAACGCGUAAUUUAUGAGAUUGAUGCCGAGAGCGAAACCAGCAGCAUUCCCUCCCACAACGCCACCAUCAUUGUUCAUUUUUUCUUAUUAGCAAGAAGCAACAGUACUAUUUGGGAAACCCUAGCCCUAUACUGACUCGGGUGGGCUACUGAGGCAGUUAGGAUUAAGAUUUUUUAACUAAUUCGUGGAUUUCGAUCUUCGGCUAGAAUUCUGGUUUGAAUUAAUCCUUGGGUGUGCGGUGUACCUUAAAUGCAGAAUGAUCGAGGCCGCAUGGGCAAAGGAGGAACAAUGACAUCAUUGUUCAACCGAGGAAAAGUGUGACUAAGAUUCCAAUAAAUGAUUUCUUCCAGCGUCGUGGUACAAGUCUUUGAUAUGUGUGAAGAACUUUUUUCUCCUCCCUUGAUUCCUCUUCUAAGUUGUUGUGGCACACUGGCACAUAACCGAUUGCAACUCACUUAUUUGGUGAUUAAGGUAAGAGCUGAAUAAGAGAAAGUUUAAGGCCAGUGGCUUUUCUGGUCAAACCAAUUUCUAGUUUAAUUACUUCGAUUGUGUUCGUUUUGUAUGUUUUUUUUUUUCAAUGUAAGCGGAGAUAGUUCUAUUGAUCAAAGAUCAUGACGACAAAAGGAGUCAAGUAUGAAUAGUUCGAAAACCAUACAAACUCAAACCAAAAAUAAAUAAAUCAAACUACAUUUAAGAAUUGAAAUAACUACCUCAAAACUACAUCAAAAAAAGGAUACGAAAACUAGAAAGCAAAUGAACUUAUAAACCCAAAAAACAUCUCAACUUUUAAAGAUUAAGGUCUAAGACCCAAUGGUGUGCCUUCAACUAUUGGGAAGAAAGAGAGAAAUUUCCUAGCUGCAGGGUGUAAAUGGGCCGAGUCGAGUCGAAUACUAAGAUGUUCAUGUUCGGCUUUUUUGCUUUUUAUCAAGUUCGAACCGGGCUAAAGCUUGAACUUUUUUUUUUGUCAUGUUCAAGCUCGAUCAGCUCGGCUUGAAUAUUUUUCUUUAAGCCCGAGCUGGGCUCGGCUCGGCUCAAUAUAUUAGACGAGCUCGAGCUCAAUCUUAAGUCAGGUCGGCUUGCUCAUUUGACUUUAAAUUUAAAAAUAUAAAAAGGAAGAAAGAAAAUUUAUAAUAAUCCAAAUUUGAUGUCUAACGAAAUAGCAAAUCCUUCAAAAUGGCUAAUCAAACUCAAAGUUAAUUUUUUUAUAAUAAUCCAAAUUUGAUGUCUAACGAAAUAGCAAAUCCUUCAAAAUGGCUAAUCAAACUCAAAGCUAAAAUUUGAACUAAUUAUAUAAGAAGGGUAAACAAACUGACAGAGAAUAAUACUUUGGUAAAUGUCAAGGCUUGAUUAUUCAGCCUGACUAUCGUGUGUUUAUAUAUUGAACAGUACGUACAAGAUAAAGAUCUCAUGUACAAGAGAUAAAUACAACUCUAUGAGAAGCUAAUCUAAAUAGUUACAAGAGAUGUAUCUGAUAAAGGAGAUUAUUUUCUAAUCAUAUCCACACUUGGAGAGUCCUCAUCUACUGUUGUAGAUAGCCUCGUAUUCAAUUCUGUUACUUUUGGUUUAUCACUCCCCUGCAAGCUGAGUGAUCUUAGAAGAACAGGAAGCUUGGAAACCAGAAAAUGAAAACGUGAUGAAGACAAUCCCUUAGUGAAGAUAUCUGCAAUCUGAUCAGUAGUAGAGAUAAACCAAACUUCCAGCUCUUUGUUAACUACUUUCUCUCUGACAUAAUAAUAAUCAACCUCCACAUACUUUGUUCUAGCAUGAAAAACCGGAUUUGACGCAAUGGCAAUUGCUGAUAGGUUAUCACACCAAAUCCGUGGACAUUGCAAGAAUAGGCUGAGAUCACAAAACAUGGACCUUAACCACGAAAUCUCAGCUGCAGUAAAAGCAAGUUGGCGGUAUUCUGCUUCAGCACUGGAACGAGACACAGUACGAUGGGUUUUGGAGCUCCAUGAAAUCAAGUUAGGUCCGAGAUACACACAGUAGCCUCCUUGACGAUUGUCAGGAUCACCUGCAUAAUCUGCAUCGGAAUAUGCACUUAUAAAGAGAGAGCCAGGCUGGUACUUAAGGCCAUGAUUAAGAGAGAACUUUAAAUAGCGCAAAAUGCGUUUAACAGCUAUCCAAUGUAUGGUGGUGGGAGAAUGCAUAAACUUGCAAACUUGGUUGACAGAAUAAGAAAUGUCUGGGCGUGUAAGGGUGAGAUAUUGUAGGGCGCCAACAACACUUCUAUACUCAGUUGUAUCAAAGAGUUUCUUGCCUGAAUGAAGACUGAGCUUUUGACCAGUAGCAGCUGGUGUAGCACAUGGAUUGGCAUCAAGCAUUUUUGUCCGAGUCAGAAGAUCAACAAUGUACUUUUUCUGAGUAAGAUAAAGAGAGGGACCAUCGUAGGUAGCCUCAAUGCCAAGAAAGUAAUGCAUGCGACCCAGGUCCUUCAUUGAGAACAUUUUUCCCAACUCAGAAAUAAGCUGAAACAAGUGAUGGCUGCUGUUGCCUGUAAUUAAUAUAUCAUCCACAUAAAUUAGAAGAAUCAGAAAAACACCAUUGUUGGCAUAUGUGAACAUGGAAUAGUCGGAGAGUGACUCUUGAAACCCAAGACCUUCUAAGUAGUCAGCAAAACAUUGGAACCAAGCUCUUGGCGCUUGUUUGAGACCAUAAAGAGUGCGUUUCAAUCUGCAAACAUGAUGUGGAAAUUCAGAGUUAGCAAAGCCAGUAGGUUGCUUCAUGUAGACCUCUUCUGUCAAGUGUCCAUGUAAGAAUGAAUGGUUAAUGGUAUUAAGUGUGCACGAACGUGAAGAGACAUGGGAUGGUGAUUGUGAAUUAGAUGAAGUAGAAUGAAUGGUUUGUGAGGGGGGAACAUGAAUAGUGUGUGAAGGUGAAGGUAUAUCAUGUAAUGUAAAGAAAUAUAAAGAAGAAGAAGAAGACAUACCUAUUGGGGAAGUGAGAAUAGCCUGUUGGAAAGGAAAAGUGUUUUCAUCAAACAAAACGUGUUUAGAGAGAUAUACUCGUUGCGUUUUUAAAUCUAGACACCGAUAGCCGAGGUGAUUCAGUGAGUAACCUAGAAACACACAUUGUUUUGAUCUUGGCUGAAGUUUAGAAUUAUUAUAAGGACGAAGGUAAGGAUAACAAGCACACCCAAAAGUGCGAAGGAAAGAGUAAUUCGGUUCUUUGUGAAAGAGAUAUUUGUAUGGAGUUUGGUUUUUAAGAAUAGGCGAAGGGAGUCUGUUGAUGAUGUAGACGGUAGUAUUGCAGGCCUCGACCCAGUAAGAUGGAGGCAUAUAAGCAUGAACAAGUAGUGUGAGAGCAGUGUCAACAAUAUGUCUAUGUUUUCUUUCGGCUAGGCUGUUCUGUUCGGGAUGUUUGGGGUAAGAGAAACGAUGAUGAAUACCAUUGAGGUUGAGGUAAUCCCUAAAGGCAUGAGAAGUAUAUUCACCUCCUUCAUCACUUUGAAAUUGUUUAAUUUGACAAGAGAAUUGUUUUUCAACAUAGAUGCAGAAUUGGAUAAAAAUUUGGAGAACUUCACUGUUUCGUUUCAUGGGAAAGAUCCAAGAAUAUCUAGAGUAAUCAUCCACAAACAAAACAUAAUACUUAUAACCUUGAACAUAAAGAGUUGAGCAAGACCAAACAUCUGAAUGAAUCAAAUGCAAUGGUUUAUUGGAAACAGAAUCAGAGAGUACAAAAGGUGACUUCGUACUUUUUCCUAACGGACAAGAAUGACAAAAGGAGACUGAACUACGGCCGGCUAAUGGCACAGCUUUAUUAGACAAAACCUUAGAUAAAGUUCGAAAAGCAGUAUAUCCUAGUCGAGAAUGCCAAAUUUGGGCAGAUACCCUUGCACCUACAAAUGCAAAGUGCUUGUGAUCAAGACCAUCAUGUUGGAAUAAACGCAAAGGAUAAAGGUCGUUCUCACUUGGUCCUCUAAAGAGGAUCUUCCCCGUCUGGAUGUCCUUGAUAAUGAAACAAUCAGGAUAUAUUAGAAGAUAGCAAUUGUUGUCAGAAGUGAAGCGAUAGAUAGAGAGUAAAUUGGUAGAGGCAGAGGGACAAUGUAAUACAUUUUGUAAUGUAAAGGUGUGAUUUUUAGAAGAUAAAGUAGUGGAUCCAAUGUGUGAAACAGAUAAAGGUGUUGAAUUCACUACAAAAAAGAAUUUGGUUAGCCACGGCAAAAAGCCGUCACCAAAAGCCACUUUGCCGUCGCGAAAGAGCAACGACGACGGCUUCGUGACGACAUUUUUGCUAUCGCCGUUGAGGGCGUGGCCGUUGUUUUUGGCUACGGUAAUGAGCCGUUGCCACCUUUUUUGCGACAGCAGGCAGCGACUGCAAAAGCCGUCCCUUAUUUGGCGACGGCAAACUUGCCGUGGCAAAUUAUAUUUAUGAAUUAAAAAAAAAUCUGGCAAGCAUAUUAGCUUGCCAAAUUUUAUUUAUUUUUAGAUAACCUGUACAAAAAAAAAUUAAAGAUACUGAAAAGAAUUGUUACAUUCAAUUAAAAUCCUCAAAUGUCACUAUUACAACAUAAGAACUAUCAAUAUAACGACAUCAAGCAGUAAUUUACAAGUGUUUCUACUAAAUAGUUUUGACACAAGCACAAAACCAACUAAGUGCAACUAUGUCAAAGUGACGCAACAGGAGUAUGGAGAGCUAACCAGCGUUAAACCCUAAUAAUUGGAGAGCCUUCAAGCGAAGAACUCUAUAGGACCAAAACCUGGAGCACGCCAGAGACUAAGAGAAAACUCUUAAGUUUCUGAAUUAUAAUUGAUAAACUGAAUGUCAGCUACCCAUAAGGGUGCAUAUAUAUGAUAAACAAAACCCUAGGGCGACUAACAACCAAACCUAAAAGCCCCAGGAUUGAAUUAAAACAGAAUCCGAAAAUAACUAGGAAACAUAAAAAUCCUCGAAAACUAAUAAAAUGCUGAUUUGAGGUCUAAAACAAACUCGGAUGGCCGAAAAAGCCCAUACAUCGUGGCAAAGCGACGAGUCUUGUUCGUUGGGCCGUUCCGCUUUCAGAAAGGUAUAAUAAUAGUCAUUCGGACACCGAACGCCAAAUCUGCAGCAAACGGGGUUUGGACCUGCAACGAUCGAUCUGUUCCUCAAUUUCUUCUGCCAUCCGUCCUACAUCAGUCUCCUCCACCUCCGAAGAACUCGACCCCGAGUUCUCAAUAGGAUAAAGAGCCUCAUCCGCAUGAUACUCAUAAAUAUCAGCCACAUUAAAGGUAUUGGAAAUGGCCAUAGAAUCCGGAAGUGCAACAACAUAAGCAUUGACAUUGAUCUUUCGUAUUACCUUGAAAGGACCAUACUUCUUGGGUUGUAGCUUAUUGUAGGUACCAACAGGAAACCUUUCCUUCCGCAAAAACACCAUAACGUCAUCACCUUCCUUGAACAACUUAAGCCGGCGAUGUUUAUCAACUGCAACCUUAUUCUUUGCAUUAGUGGCCUCCAAUUUAGCUCUAACGGACUCACGAAUUUCCUGCACUUCCUUGGCCAUAUUUUCAGCAGCAACACUAACGCCAUGCCCCCUGGGCAGCUUGACUAAAUCCACCACAUGUUUUGGAACAGUAGUAUACACCAAUGAAAAAGGUGAUUUUCCAGUAGCACUAUGCAUAACACUAUUGUAAGCAAACUCCACAUGCGGCAAAGCAUUAUCCCAACUCUUCGGUUUGUCUCCACACACACUCCUGACCAUAUUACCCAGGGUUCUAUUGGUAACCUCAGUUUGCCCAUCAGUCUGAGGAUGCGCAGUGCUACUCUUGUUCAAAGCUGUCCCAAACAUCCGCCACAAAGUGACCCAGAAAUGACUAAGGAAUUUCGAAUCCCUGUCAGAAGUGAUAGAUCAUGGUACCCCAUGCAGACGCACAACCUUCUUGAAAAACAGCUUGGCUAUGUGGGUAGCAUCCGAGAUCUUCUUACAAGCAAUGAAGUGCAUCAUCUUAGAAAACCUGUCAACAACCACAAAUACAGAAUCCACUCCCCUCUGUGUACGAGGCAAACCCAGCACAAAAUCCAUUGAAAGAUCCUACCGAAUGUCUUCAAGAACAGGUAAAGGUGUAAAAAGACCAGUAUUUUGAGACUGACCUUUAGAAACCUGACAAACAUAACACUUCCGGACAAUUUCCGUGGCAUCUCUCCUCAAAUGGGGCCAAAAAUACCGCUCCUCCAAGCUGGCAAUAGUUUUAUCUCGGCCUAAAUGCCCACUCAAAUCCCCACCAUGCAAGUCUCGGAUCAACAUCUCCCUCAAUGAAGAAAUUGGAACACAAAGCUGAUUACCCUUGAACAAAUAACCAUCACUAAUGUAAUAGUCCGCAACUGUAUGAUUGCCACUGCAUUUGGCCCAAAUUUCCUUGAAGUCAACAUCCUCUGCAUACAAAUUCUUGAGCAUGUCGAAACCCACUAUCUCCUGUGACAAAGUCACCAUCAAGGAUGCUCUUCUACUCAAAGCAUCUGCCACCCUGUUUUGGGCACCAGAUUUAUGUUGAAUCACAAAAGGGAAGCUUUGCAGAUAACUCACCCACCGAGCAUGCAUGUUGAAUACAUUUUUCUAACUGUUAAGGAACUUCAAGGCUUGAUGGUCCGUAUACAAGACAAACUCCCUCUGAACAAGGUAAUAUUCCCACUGUUUUAACGCCCGGAAGACCGCAUAGAACUCCUGGUCGUAAGUACUCCACUUCUGGUGAGCUUCGCUAAGCUUUUCACUGAAGAAAGCUACUGGCCUCUUCAAUUGGGACAACACAGCACCAACCCCCACUCCACUAGCAUCACACUCCACCUCAAAUAUCUUAUCAAAGUUAGGCAGUGCCAGGACAGGUGCAGAGCAAAGCUUCUCCUUUAUCAAAGCAAAACUCUGUUCUUGUGCCUCUCCCCAGUGAAACUUCCCUUUCUUCAAACAUUCAGUAAUGGGAGCAGUAAUGGUGCUAAAAUGUCGAACAAAUCUUCUGUAGAACGUAGCCAAACCAUGAAAACUACGUACCUCAGAAACUGUCUUUGGGGCUGGCCAGUCUUGUAUGGCACGAAUCUUCUCCUCAUCCACCUGAAUUCCAUCCUCUCCUACCACAAAUCCCAAAAACAGAAGCUUGUUGGUACAGAAAGUACAUUUUUUCAGGUUAAUGUACAGCCUGCAAAACGCUCAAAACCUGGUGCAAAUGUUGCAAGUGAUCUUCUUUUGUUUUGCUAUACACCAGAAUGUCAUCAAAAUAGACCACCACACAAACACCAAGAAGACGACGAAGAACCUGUGUUAUAGUUCUCAUGAAGGUGCUAGGUGCAUUAGAUAAUCCGAAAGGCAUUACCAUCCGCUCAAAAAGACCAUCCUUGCUCUUGAACGCCGUCUUCCACUCAUCCCCUGGUUUAAUUCGAAUCUGAUGGUAACCACUGCGAAGAUCUAUUUUGAAAACACCAUAGAACCUGCCAACUCAUCAAGCAUAUCUUCCAAACGAGGAAUAGGAAAUCAAUACUUGAUGGUUAUUUUGUUGAUGGCUCUACUGUCCACACACAUCCGCCAUUGGUUGCCCUUCUUAGGAACAAGAAGGACUGGACUUGCACAAGGGCUCAUGCUCUCACGAAUAAACCCCUUCUUCAGCAAGUCCUCAAUCUGCUCCCUCAAGAUCUUAUUCUCUUUAGGACUCAUACGGUAAUGGGGAAGAUUUGGUAAACUGGCACCUGGAAUAAAAUCAAUCUGGUGUUGGAUGUCUCGCAUGGGUGGUAGCUCAUUAGGUAGCUCAUCAGCAAUCAACUCCUCAAAUCUCUUAAGCAAUUGUUGUACCUCUUCGGGGAUCUCCACAGGUUCUUUCUCUGCACUAAACAACCCCUUAAUCACCACAGGACAACACAACUCUGACUCUUUAAAGUCUUCCUCUAUCUCCCGCUCAUUCUUGGACAAGAUUAGAAAGUUCUCCCUCUUCUUUUCUAUAGGUUUGUCAAAGGUCACCACAGGAGCCAUAGCAAUCUUAAACUCACCCCACAUAAACAACAUCACAUUAUCCCGACCCCUGUAAGUAACAUCAACAUCAUACUGCCAAGGACGCCCAAACAGAAUAUGACAAGCAUCCAUGUCCAGAACAUCACAAACUACUUCAUCCCUAUAAUGCUUACCAAUCGAAACAUGCACUUUGUAGGUUCUGGUUACGCGCACUUGAGGACCCUUCUUCACCCAACCUAGAGAAUAGGGCAUCACAUGGGCCUCUGUUGGUAACUUCAAAUACUCUACCAACUUUUCAGCAACAAAGUUUUCGCAACUCCCAUUAUCCACAAUCAGAUUACACACCUUGUUGUUGAUAGAGCAAUGCGAUUUGAAAAGGUUCCUACGUUGACCGUCUUCCUUCCUGGGAGACAACAGAAUUCUCUGCAAUACAAUGUUUACCUUUUCUGGAGAAUUUUCCACUGCAAAUUUAGCCCCUUCAUAGUCAUCGCCUCCUUCCUCCGUCUCGUCUUUCUCACAGGCCUCGACUAAAGGCUAAACUGCUUUAAUCACCUUCGGAGGUGCAGUACACUCGUUGGAUCUAUGGCCAGGCUGUAAACACUUAUAAUAAGUUCCUGGAAAAGGCCUUGUAUAAGGGUUAAAAGGUCGCUGCGCAGGUGCUGCCCGAGUUGCCCUGCUAGUAUUGCCAAAACCAGAAACGCCACCCUCUUUGUUAAUAGCAUUAGAUACGCAGCAGGAGUAUGGAGGGCUAACCAGCGUUAAACCCUAAUAAUUGGAGAGCCUUCAAGCGAAGAACUCUAUAGGACCAAAACCUGGAGCGCGCUAGGGACUAAGAGAAAACUCUUAAGUUUCUGAAUUAUAAUUGAUAAACUGAAUGUCAGCUACCCAUAAGGGUGCUUAUAUAUGAGAAACAAAACCCUAGGGUGACUAACAACCAAACCUAAAAGCCCCAGGAUUGAAUUAAAACAGAAUCCGAAAAUAACUAGGAAACAUAAAAAUCCCGAAAACUAAUAAAACGCUGAUUUGAGGUCUAAAACAAACUCGGAUGGCCGAAAAAGCCCAUACAUCGUGGCAAAGCGACGAGUCUUGUUCGUUGGGUCGUUCCGCGUCCAGAAAGGUUAAUAGUCAUUCGGACACCAAACGCCAAAUCUGCAGCAAACCGGGUUUGGACCUGCAACGAUCGAUCUGUUCCUCAAUUUCUUCUACCAUCCGUCCUACAUCACAAAGCCUCCAGAACCGAAGUUUCAAUUGUAAAUCGUGGUAAAUCAGAAUCAAAAUAAAGUAGCAUGCACGUCAUAUGACAACGCUAUAAGAAUCAAAAUAAAUCAUACUUGUUGUAUUUGUCCAAUUCCAUCUUGUAAGCCUCCAUGGCUUCAGCUGGUCAUUCCACAACUUCCUCUCUUCCUCACUCAAUUCCUAUACCCAACAACAACACAAUAAUUAGUCUCUAGUUCAGUCAAUGAAAGAGGACAUUGACUUGAAAAACCAAUUGAAACAAAGAGUGUACAUUCCACUUAACUAAAAUAAGAACAGUAACGGUGGAGUUAAUGAUUCCUUGUCUCUCUAGUCAGUGUACCAUCCACCACUGAGUUGAAGACUAGAAAAAAAAAGGAAAAAAAACAUAACAGAUGCAAUUAGCAGGGUAACAAAACUAAAAACCAACGGGUAUAAAAAAGAUCUUAGUCUGAUUAAGUGAUAGAAGAAAAGUUGGAAAAGAGAUUAUAGAAUACUCAAAAGAAUCAGGUAAGAGAAAGAAAGAGAGAUGAAUACGUUUGAUUUGAUAAAAAGCAAAUGUUGUCCAAUAAGUGAUGUCAUGUAAUUGUUGCAGGAAUUGGGCAUACUGCUUUUCUGAGAUAUAUCGGAUAUUUUCAAACCUUUCCAGUUACUACAUAUCUAUCAUUUGCCACGCAAUAGUAUUUAACAAUGCCUAGUGGAUCAAUCUAGCAAAAUUUACAUUUCCUUAAAAUUGUCUCAAUUAUCUACUGUAUCACUCAAAACAAAAAAGUAUAGGAAAGCAAAUAGUCCAAAAGAUACCAAUGCAGAGCUCACAUAUGUGGCAAAAAAAAUAGGUGUAUUAAAAGACACCAUGUAUUAGCAAAAAAAAAAUUCAUCAUGAAUAAAUAUGGGAAACAAAAGAAACAUGUAGGUUCAACAUCUAGAGUAAACAUUUAGGAUCAUUAAUUCCCAACAUUAGAAUUUAGAGUGCAAAACAGUUAUGCAACUACCUUCUUGUUCCUUAACGAAACUAGCAAUAACAGGCUGAUUAGUUGCAUAUUUGCAUAUUUAAUGCCCAAGAGAAGUUGCUGCUUUUCAUCCCUGGUCACGAAAAGUUCAUACCAUUAAACAAGGUGUUUAUGCAAAUCAUAAAACUUUAAAUUUCAACACAGAAAAGAAUGACAAUUUAUAUAUAUAUACCACUUGAGAUGAUUAAGUUUACAUAAAAUGUGAUUACACUCGUAUGUUUGUGAGAUACCAAUGCACAUCUAGCUGCUGAAAAUGCUCCAAAAUGAUAUGCAGUUAUAGCCAUCCUACUGCACUAAGAACAUGAAGCCUUUACCAUUUGUCCUUUAAUUAAGAGCACCCGUAAUUUAUAUAUGUGUACUAAAUAAACCACAUAGGCAUUAACUAUAUAGUUCCUUACCAAAUCUUCUUCUCCACAGUUGCAGUCCAUAGUAUAUGCUUUCCCUCAUCAACAAUCGCGUAGACAUCACCUACAUGGGCACCAAUGAUUAAUAACCACUUUUGACCAAAUUCCUACUCAAAACAUAACCUGGGAUAAACCUUACCUCUUCUCAAUCUUAACCAAAUUGACCACCAACAUAGGUUCAUAGUACAGAUUAAUAGCUCAAAUAUAUACAAAUCAUUAGAUAUAUAAAUACUGCAGCAGCACCUACUCUUCUGAUCAUGCAUAAAUUUCAAAUUCCAGAACACAGGCAUGCAUAUAUUGGCAUAUAUGUCCGUAUAUAUCAUCAUUUACUGCAGUAAUAUAAACAACCACAAAUCUUGAACUGUAACUACACUGAAUUUGACAUCAUUCAUAUGAACCAAAAACACAAAAAUCGUCUUUAAAACUGAGCACUAAGAUAAAUUCAAGCUCCCACUGAUGCAAACAACAUAAAAGACUUUACUAUGAUUCAAACACAUUUCAAUCAAUAACUGAUUUUGUUUCACAUAUGCAGCAAUUAAGCUCUUCCUUUCUCCUCAAAUAAACCAAUAACCUUAUCAAACAUCUACAACAUCACCAAAAUUACAAAAACCUCCCUUGAAAACCUCCUAACCUUUACCAAAUCCGACCAAGGCAGACCCAAACCCUAGGUUUAACUACUCUGCCACGACGCAUCAGACCACCAGACCUUCUAUGUCAUCAGCUGUAGCCAAAACAGUAACCAAUCAAUCUCCAAAACACGAACUGAAGCACAAAGGAGCUCGAUAUUGAAGAAAGAGAGAAUAGGUUACCUUAGAGAAGCAAAGACUUCGCCAGAGAGAGAUGAAUCGCGUCGGAUUUGGAAUUAGGGAUUUGGUGUCCUGCUAAUGCCUGCUCGGUUGUCAAUUGCAAAAUCACCCACCUACAACAAGCAGCUACAAAAGCUAAACAUGGUAUGCCCUUGAACAAUGACUUUUGAAGAAACAAUAUGAAUGUGCAAGUCUACCACAUUUCAACUCUCUCUUCCUCCCUAAUCCCUACCAAUGCUCUGUCACUGGUCAAUCAAAAAUCUUGACUCAUACUAAAUUCAAAACCAUAUUCAUCUAUGCUUUUACAAACCCAUCAACAAAAACUCAUCACAGACCAAACCCAACACUAAAACAAUUAACUUUAAACUCCCACCACAUAAAAAUUCAACCUUUAUCCAAUCAAAUCCAUCAAACAUUUGGUGGGCAUAAACCAUUUUACCUGAGAAGGGACCUGUUCAAGAUCCUGAACAUCAGAUUCUCCGACAACACAAAGUCGCCGGAGGGAAACCGGGCCAACGGCUUCCGGCCCAAAUCCAUAACCACUUCAAUCAACUGAUGAAGCUCUGGGUGCUCCUUCACUCUCUGCCGCAUUUCCUCCGGCAAAAGGGCCAUGAGCCGGCCAAGUUCCACCGCGAAAUCCUCCUCGGAUUUCGAUUUGCCAAAUCGCGUCAGAUUUGGAAUUGCUGAAAUAGAAGGUAGGAGGAGGAAGAGUGAAGAGAGGGGAUUCGGCUGGUGGUCGUCAUUUGUUCUGUCGACGACUGCUCCAUGGUGGCGGACUGGCAGCUCAGUCUCGGACCUCUCUUCUCUCGACAAAAUGAGGGGAAGAGAUAGGGUUUUUCCAUCUUAUACUCUAGGUUGGGUUAAGAUACAGAUCAACGGCCGAGAUUAAAAGUGAUGAUUUUAAAGUUUGCCACGGCCUCUUCCCCCCGUCGCAAAUUUACUUUUUUAGCCACGGCUCCACAUUGCCGUCGCAAAACUUAAUUUUUUUUUGCUACGGCACAAAGUUGCCGUCGCAAAAUAAUUUUAAUUUAGCUACGGAAACGUUGCCGUCACAAUGCCGUUGCAAAAACUGGACCAAUGGUGACGGCAAAUCUGAGCCAUGGCAAUUUGGGGUGGCUAACUGAAUUCUUUUUUGUAGUGAUUACUUAUGCCUCCAACAUGAUCACUUCCCUGAUACUCCUUGGAAUGUUGCAGAUUUGUCAAGUCAGAUGUAAUAUGGGAGUUGGCACCACUGUCGAGCAGCUAAGUUGAAGGAGCUGGAGUGGACACAGAAGCUACCAUAGCACUGAGGUUCUUAGACGGCACCCUUCCUUGAUAAGAAAGGUUCAUACGAUUGUAGCAGUCCAGAGCAGUGUGACCAAUCUUGUUGCAAAUCUGACAGGUAGGACAUGAUUGGUUGUUGGACAAGAAGCUUGAUGAUGGAUGAUGUCCAAGAACAGAACUACCUCUCCCUCGAGUUGUAAGAGACCCUCUGCCUCCAAGAGUUGAAGCAGGGUUCCGAGUAGAAUAAGAGGUUGAGGAGAUACAGCCACGUCCUCGUCCUCGAUUGGAGAGAUGAGUAGCAUGAAGUGUUGUGGUUAUGGAGGAGACAUCUAGGGCAGCUUGUUGUUGAUCUUUCAUGCGCCUCUCAGCUGAAAGAAGAAGGGCUUCCAGAGACUCAUAGGUGAUUGGAGUGUCUCGUGUUUGAGCAGAGCUGAUUGUAUUCUCAUAGAGUGGUCCAACAUUGUUCAUGAUGAUGGAUACGAGAUCAUUCUCACUUGUGGGGCUUCCUGCAGGUGCCAAGUUAUCUGCGGUAGAAUUAAUUUUAUCAAGAAAAUCGGAGAUGGACAUGUUACCCCUCAUGGUCCUGAGUAGCUCUACUGAGAGGCAAAGCAUUUUGCCAAAGAACUCCAUGUAUAGAAGGAGUUAGUGGACCGAGCGACUGUAGCCAAGACUGGAGGCGUCAAAGAGUUGUUGAUCCACCCAAGGACCAUCUGAUCAUUAGCUAUCCAUUGUUGAUACGCAGGAUUGACUUCAUCAGUCAAUUUUCCUUCAGCAUCGGUUUUGAAACACGGGGGGCAGCCUAGGGUUCCAUCAACAUACGACAUCAAAUUUCGACUCUUUAGAAGCGGCUGUAUCUGUGUCAGCCACAGAGGGUAAUUGGUUCUGUCCAGCUUGAUAGAGAGGAAGUUGGACACAUUAGGGCUAGAGGUGUUAGGAAUCAUUCGGUGGGGGACAAGUGCAUUGUUGUUUGCACCAUUGGUGAUAGUGAGAGGAAGUUCAGGGUUGGGAAGAGGAGAUUCAGGUUUGAGAGGAGGAGUUUCGGGGUUGGGAGGAAAUUUUUUAGAAGAAGAGUCCAUUGGUAGGAGGCGAGAAAAAAAAUUGUCGUUUAGACUAUGGCUCUAAUACCAUGAUAAAGUAGUCUGGGGUUCACAUCUAAAACCAAUUAACAAUGGAUGGAGUAGCCCAAACCCUUAUAAACCACAGGCAAGGUCCCAUUUUUCCCGAUGUGGGAUAUAUAUCUCAACACGCCCCCGCACAUGUGGCGAAUUUUCAAGCCUAACACGUGGAUAAUAUUUAUGGUGACGUGGAGUUCGUGUGGCCUUUGGGCUUCACAUGUGGACGUGGGUAACCCGCUCUGAUACCAUAAACGAAUUGACAGAGAAUAAUACUUUGGUAAAUGUCAAGGCUUGAUCAUUCAGCCUGACUAUGUUUAUAUAUUGAACAAUACGUACAAGAUAAAGAUCUCAUGUACAAGAGAUAAAUACAACUCUAUGAGAAGCUAAUCUAAACAGUUACAAGAGAUGUAUCUGAUAAAGGAGAUUAUUAUCUAAUCAUAUCCACACUUGGAGAGUCCUCAUCUGCUGUUGUAGAUAGCCUCGUAUUCAAUUCUGUUACUUUUGGUUUAUCAAAGGGAGCCUUCAGCAUAUCGACUCGAAGUUAUAUUUGUGUCAUCAUCACUCACCCUUUCAAGCAAAAUGGCACCAAAUCUUCACUAUCUAUAAAAUCUAAAAUCAAAGAAACAAUUAAAUAGGAAGGUAAUAAAAAAAAUUAGAGAUUUGAAACCAAAGAAAUUAUAUUUCACUUAUAUAUAUAUAUAUUUAUAAUAUAAAUUUUAAUAAGUCGAGUUUUAAUAAAUGAACAUAAUAUUUAACAAUUUUGAGCUACUCAUAAAAAAUACGAGCUACUCACGAGCUAAACGGGUCGUACCAUUCUUAGAUGAAAAGGAAUGAUCGAAACAAAUUCAUUGAGGUAAUUUGUAAAUUGAAUUAAAUUAUAAUAAUAAAAUGAAGAAUAGAUAAGUUAUGUGAGUAACACUAUGACGAAGCAGGUGUGGAAAAUCAGUAUUCCUCUCAAAGUCAAAGUUUUUAGCUGGCAGCUCAUUCAUCAAAAACUUUCAACUAGAGACCGUAUUUUCACGAACUAUUAUAUAGAUUGUUCUUGCCUUUCUUGUCAUUCACAAUUAGAAUCAGCUGAUCACCUUUUCUUACAGGCCAUGUUUUCUUUUUCAGCGGACGAACACGAAUGCACAGUCUUGUCUUUUAUUCAUAUCCAGUUUGAUAAGAAUAAUACCACCUUUUCAGCAGGAUAUUAUAUCAUGGUCUGACAUGAUUAAAAAUUUCUAGUUGCUUAAUAUCUGCACAUCCAAACACCAGAUAGGAUACAACUAAUGUCACAUCCCGACCCUUAAAUUUUUAUCUUAUUUACUAGCUUGGUUAUAAUAAGAAUUUUACCGUCUCCGUCAUUGAGGCUAUAGUGUAAUUGGUCCCUAGAGGGGUUUGGGGGACGGUUAUUUACGGAGAAUUAUUCGUAGGAGAAAAAUAUGACGACGGUAAAAAUGGUAAAUUUUAGCUAGUAAAAGGUAAUUUUUAUUAGGGUAUUAUUUUUCGGGGUGUUUUAUUUUGGAGUAAGUGUGGGUUUAUAGGUUUUGGACCGGAUGGGUGAGGCCCAAACCCAUCUCCCUCUCUGUCCCGGUUUUUCCCCCGAGCCAUCUCUUUGCCGGAAACUUCCGGCCGCUCGUCCGCCGCUAUCCGGCCGCCUGAGACUGCCGCACCGGUCCUGUUCGGUCGGUCUUCAACCCAGCCACCUCCCUGGACCGGUGACAGCCCCUCGACCGCUGCCGUGAGGGAGUUCUCUCCCUGAAACCCUUGGCUGCCGUGAUGGUUUCCUCGUCGGAGCUCCCUCCUCCGGCCGCCAUAGCCGGCGAGUCUUGGCUCAUUGUGAAGCUCUCCUCCCGUGCAUCAAUCCCUCCAAAGGGCUCACUCCCUCUUGAGCUAGGUAAGGAGAAAUUUAAAGUUGAAAUCCUAGGGCUCUUUAGGUGUUUGUGUUCGAUUGCCCUAGCUAGGCUUGGAUUUUGUGUUUGUGCUAGUUAGAAAAGUUGUAGAGGGGGUUGAGAGGAAGCUGCUGUUGAAUUUUGGUAGGCAUUGGAGGUCGCCGGAAUCGGCCUCCGGCCGCCGCUGCCGGCGGGGCUGGCGCCGGCGCCGGCGCCGCCGCAGGUUGGAAGAUUUUAAUGUUUUUAAAUUUGGAAUAUUAAGGGGAGUUUAUUGAAGUGAAUUAUGGAAUUUUUGGAUGAGUUUUGGAUAAGGUUAUGAAUUUCCGAAGUGUGGUAUUUUUGGUGGUUGAAUAAUGUAGAAUCCGGCCAAAGGAUUUAAGCCAUUAAUCUGUGGAAUGUUGAAUUAGGGCUGCCGGUUUGUUCGGUGAAGUUUAAGCCAUUUUGAGUUAAGAAUGGCGAAGUUGGGCAAUGAUGAGUGUGUGGGAGGCUCACGUUUAAUUUUGCCCAUUUUGUCUAAAUAUUGGAUUUUUAGUUGGGAAAUUAAUUUUAUAUUUAUGCCAGGGUUCGAGGAAACCUCACUGGAGUGGCUAUUUGGAUUUCGUCGGGCUUAUGCCUAGAGUUGUGAGUGGACCUUUGUUUUAAUUGAAAAGCAUGCGAUGAAUUUAUUUUGUUGAUCUUUUAUUUCUCCUUAUGAGACUUAUUGAUUUCUCGGUUAUUUAGCAAUUUUCCUCCUUUGGAGAGUUCCCGAAAAUGAGAUUUUCGGUGGAUAUGUUUAUUGGAUGUUUAUGAGGAUAGUAUGUAUAUAUAAAUGCUAGCUAGCCAUAUGUGCUUGAUCCGCCAUAAUGAGGUAAAAUAUCAUUAUGGUGUGACGUGAGUGUUAGACACAAGCGUAAUAGCCCUAUAUAAAAACUAUUUUUGUUUUCUGGUUCAUAUAGGUUUUCAUAUAGGGAGUCCACAUGUAUAUACACUCGUGCUUUUCCGCCAUAAUGAGGAAAAAUUUCAUUAUGGUGUUACGUGAGCGUUAGACGCAAGCGUAGUAGCCUUGUAUGAAUUUCUAUUUUGCUUAUUCCUUCAUAGAAUUCGUACAAGGAGUAUGACGAGUAUAAAUACAUACACAUAUAUAUAUAAAUAUAUAUUUUUAUAUAUAAUUUAGCCUGAGAGGCCUUAUUUUUGUUAAGUUUGGAGACUCGCCGGAACUAGUCACGAAAUUGCCAGUUUAUGAGUUGAGCGCUUUUGAACUGCUGCAUGCAGUAUAUUUUUUCUUUGGAAAUUGAAAUGGGGAAGCAUAAAUAUUUUUAUUAAUUUAUUUUUGUCCACUCACUCUAAUGGUUUCAAAUGUCUUUCCCUGGGCCCUUUGUUUUAAAAUGCCCAGUUUGCAGGAUUGCAUAGUUGAGGUCGGACGUAUGUACAUGGAGAUGAGGCAUAGUCAUCAUAUAGCUUCCGCGUGUUAAUUUAUUAUGUUUCCUUUCUUCCUGUUAGAGUUGCUCUGAACCUAUAAAUGGUUGGAUAUGAGAUUUGUUUAGAUUAGUAAAUAAUUUGGGUGGUGUUAUGAUUUGGGGAGCACGAAGGCUCCAGGAGUUUAAGGUUGGAUUUAAAUUUUCAGAAGUGUUUGCAGGUAUUAUUAGGAAGGGUUGUCCAUUUUCAAGGGAGGUUAUGCCGAUUUUUCGGUAAAUUUUCUUUAGAGGUGGUCCCCACAGGAUUUACUUCGGAAUUUAGGGUGAAAUUCAGGAUGGGUUUUGACAACUAAUCUUGUCAGACCACCUUAUCCGGCCAAACAAACGGCCCCACAGUGUAAUUUUGCCAUUUUAGUUUGGCAAAAAACAUUCCCUUCUCUUAAUAUAUCAACAUUUUCUACUUUCAAUGCUUAUCUCAAACAUCUAGCCUCGAUCCACUCCAAUCCCAUUCUUUUUCUAGACAUUGCUCUUAUUAUUGCUUAUUCUAUAUGGAAAUAUCAUAACAAUAUCAUCUUUAGGAACCAAUCCACUACUCCUUCCUAGAUAGUCUAUUCUUGUGUCAACAUGUUCUAAUCUUAUCGCUCUUGGCAUAUAAACCUCUUAUCAUUAUUCUCUUCCUAGAAAUCAGAUUCUAAAAUGUAGGGCUGGCACAAAUCCCGUAAAUCCCGGUCCCGUCCCGAUCCCGGUGGGAUUUGAAACUAAAAACACCGGUCCCGUCCCAUUAGAGAAACAAUGGGACGGGACGCGGGAUUGAAAUUUUGAGUCCCGUCAGGCCCGUCCCGUCCCGUCUAAUUUUUAAAAUUCAUAACUAAUUGUAGAAAAAUUAUUUUUGAGAGAUCCCAACUCUCAAAUGAUCUUUAAGAUGUCAUCUAUAACUUUCAUAAAGAUACUAAACUCAUAUAACGAACCAAUUUGUACAGUUUUCGAAAAGAAGCCAACUGGUUCAAAUCUCAGAAUUUACUAAUAUAGACCCUAAACUUUAAGAAACCAUAACUUAAUCUAGAAAAAUAGUUUUCACGUGAUUCAAAUUCUGGAAUGAACCUUAAGAUGUCUACUACAAAUCUUAUGAAGACACCAAGAUGAAAUUUCAAAUGCAACGGUAUGAUUUCCAGAAGAAACGAAACUGAUGCAGGAUGGCUGGGAUUGGGCUCGUCCAGUCUAACUUUCAAAAUUCAUAACUAAUUGUAGAAAACUUAUUUUUGAGAGAUUCCAACUCUCAAAUAAUAUUUAGGAUGUCUUCUGUAACUUUCAUGAGAACACUAAACUCACGUAACCAACCAAUUUGUACAGUUUUUGAAAAGAAGCCAACUGGUUCAGAAUCACAGAAUUGACAUGCAGAAUUUAUAGAUGCAGACCCUAAACUUAAAAAAAUCAUAACUUAAUCGAGAAAAUCAUUUUCAAGUGAUUCAAAUUCUGGAAUGGACAUUAAGAUGUCUACUACAAAUCUUAUGAAGACACCUAGAUGAAAUUUCAAAUGUAACUGUACGAUUUCUAGAAGAAAAGAAACUGAUGCAGGAUGGCCAAGAUUGGGCCCGUCCCAUCCCGAUCCCGUCCCGUCCCAUCCGGGAUUAGGCCCGGCGGGAUCGAGUCUGAAAAAUGUAAGGCCCGUCCCGAUCCCGUCCCAUGUGUAACAACCGGGACGGGACGUGGGAUGACCUCAAUCCCGUCCCAUCCCGUCCCAUGCCCACCCCUACUAAAAUGGAUCCCUCCUCCAAACAACAUCCUGAAACUUAACUUUGAUGGUUCGGUUACUAACAAUUAUGGUGUUGUUGCCUUUGUUUUCAGAAAUGAUCAAGGUCCAAUCUUAGGAUCCAGGAUGAAAAUGUUACCAAGGCUAAUCGUAACACGAAAAAAAAUUCAAGGAAACUCGACUAGACGGUGCGAGAAAUUUUAGAAACUUGUAAAUGGGAGUAACCAAAAACACAAGCUUUGGUUGAAUACUUGGAUAGAAUGUAAAGAUAGAUGGGUUUGUCUGCUAUACUGAUAUGUAUAACAUACAAACUAAUAAAAGAACUAAAAGGGGGGAGAUCACGUGUAGCAGGGGUGGUGUGUUUUGGAAAAUUUGGCUGCAAAAAUAAGUUUGUAUGCCAUGCAUUAAUGUACAACACAAUUUUCCAAGACGGAUUACUUCAUUAGUGGUGAGCAAGUUUGCAAACUUGCAGACCAAAAUUAGUAGAAACUAUACAAAACACAAAGCAGAAAUGCAUACCGAAGGGUUGGGUUUGUUCCAGUCUGUGAGAAAUGCAGAAACACAAAGCAGAAUAAAUAAAAGGGUUGGGUUCAAAAAUCAGAAUGAAGCUAAACCCUAUGCUAGAUAGAUAUGCUUUAGUGUGGAUUUGUUCAAAAUGGUAGAUUCUUUGUUUCGAAAACACUGAGUUUAUGUAAACUCAAAACUCAAAGUUGAAUGCUUUGUGCAAAGGUUAUUGAUCUGAUCCCCAUAUACUUUACAACCUUCUCACCUCCUUCAUUCGACAUCCGCUUAACUCUGCAUGUAGUAUUUUUUUUUGGCCAAUUACAUAUAAGUCCACUUUGAGAUAUUUUUUCCCACAUAAGUCCACCCCAACAUUUUUACCCAUAUAAGUCCACCCNNNNNNNNNNNNNNNNNNNNAAGAAAAGCUACUAUCGCUAACUACAAAAGCUACUACCAUACAUAAUAAAUCUACUAUUACCAAGUAAUACAAAAUAUACUAUUACAGUGUCAAAAAUAUACUAUCGUAAUGACAAAAAUAUACUACUACUGUGUUGGAAAUAUACUAUCAUAACCAUAACCAGUCAAUUGUGAGCUUGUUGAGCGUUGAGCAUGUCAAGAGGACGGUUCCAUUCUCGGUAGAGCCUUCGUUUCCCGACGCCGUCGAUGCCAGCAACGACGGGUUUAUCUGGAUCGGAUCUAGAGGUGAAGGCACUAGAUGGUUGAGCGGAUCAAAUCAGAAAGUGUCAUCAUCGAUCCGGAGGCUUCAUCGUUGGGCCGGCGACGUCGAGGUCGAAUCAGAACACGUCAAGGUCAAAUCAGAAGAGGCCGAGGUUGAGGCCGAAUUAGAAGUCUGGAUCGGAUCUAGAGGUGAAGGCGCUAGAUGGUUGAGCGGAUCAAAUCAGAAGGCGUCAUCGUCGAUCCGGAGGCUUUGUCGUUGGGCCGGCAACGUCGAGGUCGAAUCAGAAGAGGCCGAGGUUGAGGCCGAAAUAGAAGUCGUCGUUGAUGGAAUUAGACGCAGUCGAGGCGUCAACGUUAAGCUGGCAGCGUCGAGGUCGAGGCGUCAUCGUUGGCCGGCAGCGUCAAGGUCGAGGUCGAGGCGUCGUCAUCGUCGUCGGAGUAGCAGAUCGGCGUCGAGCUAUCAUCGUCAAGUCAGUGUUGUCCUGAGACGCCGCCAUGGCCGGAGAUUCAAGAUCGGAGAAGAGAGGGAGGAGGAAGACGAUGAGCCAGAGAGAGAGAGAGAGAGAGAGAGAGAGAGAGAGAGAGAGAGAGAGAGAGAGAGAGAGAGAGAGAGAGAGAGAGAGAGAGAGAGAGAGAGAGAGAGAGAGAGAGAGANNNNNNNNNNNNNNNNNNNNNNNNNNNNNNNNNNNNNNNNNNNNNNNNNNNNNNNNNNNNNNNNNNNNNNNNNNNNNNNNNNNNNNNNNNNNNNNNUAUGGGUAAAAAUAUUAAGGUAGACUUAUGUUACAAAAAAUGUUGAGAAAGUGACUUAAGUGAAAUUUUCUAUUUUUUUUUAGGUUUGAAAUUAUCACCUGGGCUCUAGCCUAGGUAAGCCUGGGACUGGAUCUGCUCUUGUUAGCUUCAACCAAGUGUGUGGGUAGUACUGAUAUUCUUGUUGUUGAAUCUCUUGUUUUGCGGGCUAGUCUCACUAUAGCAUGGUACCAUGGUUUUUCUCACUUCCAUGUUGAAGAAGACUCACAGAUUCUCAUUGAUGCGGUCAAUAACAAGAUUACUUGCCCGUGACGCAUCUCGACACUUGUCAAUGACAUCAUACAUUUUGCCUAGCUGCUUCAUAUCUCUUCAUUUAGGACACAUUAAAUGGGAGCAUAACUUUGUAGCUGACGCACUAGCAAAGAUGUGACACUCUUCAUACACCAAGACUAGGCACUUUUCGUUGCCUCUUUCAGCGAGCUCUACCGUUUAUUUUGACUCUCUAGAAGUAGGUUGUUUUAAAGGUUUUAAGUUUGUAGUUUUAUUUCUUCUUUACCCAGAAAAAACACUGACGAAGCACUUUGGGUGAAGAGGUACGCGUGGUUACCGAAUAAAACAGAAAUUGAUGAUCACAUCAUGGCCGCCGCCUCUCACUCUUUCUCUCCCUCAUCGCCCCAUAUGUUCGAAUUGGUAAUGCGAACCUUUGUUUUCUUUUUUUCUUUAUCACUUUGCAUCUUAGAUUGCAUAUAUGCACAACUAAUUCUACGUUUGGAACCCUGGUCCUCGAUAAACAUAUCAUCUUAGAGUGUGCUUCUUAUGUCUAUCUAUUGGUUUUUUUUAUUUGAUUUUAAAGCCAUUUGAUCUUCGAUGCUGUAACCGGAGCGGAUCAGUGCACUUGAACCGCUGACAGACUAAGCAACGAUGGUUAGUGACAAAAAACUCAGACCACAGUAAAAACUUAGGAGCCUAAAAAACACUCUUUCCUCUUCACAGAACUAACCAGUAACCACUCAGCCUCUCUUCAGUCUUCAUCUCCCCGCCUCCGAAACCUUAAUCUCCCCAAAAACUCAGCCUUUCCAGCCUCCCAAUUUCGACCCAUCGCAGGUCAUCAAGAUCUAUGUAAAAAACCUGAGACAAGGUCGGCGCCGUCAGUUUCCUCGCUCCCAAAAUCAGUUAUCUCGGUCUCUCCCCCAAGCAGAACAGAAAACACAUCACUAAGGAGACCGAGAAGGACUGGAAGGUCAAGGUCUUCAGGCUCAAUGAUGUCUUCGAGAGAGCACCAUAUUCGUUAUUGGGGAGUUUGAGAUUUGGUGGAUGUGGAAGGGCUGGACCACCAAUCACUCAAUCGCCGACGAGGGUGAUAGCGACCGGAGGCGGGGGUGAAAAUGCGGAAGCGACCGGAGGUCCUCGGAAUGAGAUAGACGUGGAGAGAGACUGAGAGUGAGAUGGGGAGGAAGAGAGAGAGAGAGAGCGGCGGAGGGUGGUCAUUCGAUUUGUGACUCUGUGUCUUGGAUCCUCAGGCGAAUGAUUUGGCGUACAUGAUCACAUUUCAGCUUCUAUGUACUCAAUCUAAAUGGCUCUUAUCAAUUCAUGGAGAAAAUACACGGUCCAGAUCGCACAAGUUUUUCUAAUUUUCUUUAAUAUUUCUUUAAUUAAGAAACUUUCAAAAACUCUGUAAAAAGGUUGGGUAUCCAAAAAAUUAUUCAAAAAUAUCCACAAAUUCGUGACAUCGUAUACUUUUAGAGUGUGAAAGUUUUUGAAAGGCAUUAUACUCCCGAGCAUUACCGAGAUUGUAAAUUAGUUUGUGGACGAUCUUUACUUAGCUCAAGAAAAUAAGUUUCGGGAAACAUAUAUUAACUUAUUUUUAUUUCUAUCGACACGGUCAACAUUAACAAAAUAAAUACGUUUCAAACAUUACCAUUAUGUACCGAUGUCAAAAAAUGAAAAUUCAAGUCCAUUGUUUAACGUUGUACUUAUUAUUAGCACGUAACACAUAGGUGUGCAUUGUGUAUUUUUUUUCUUCUCGUUUUGGUUUUUUUUUGCACUGAACGAAUUCUUUGUGUGCCUACUAACGUGAUCUAUUUUGUAUGUAAUUAACUUAAAUAAGUAUUAACCGUAUUCAUUUGGGAAUGACGAUCUACAAGCUAGGUCGAUUUUUUUUUCUUCAGAAUAAGCAUGAUAAUUAACUACGGAGAAAAUACAUAAUUAAUUAGGUAAGGUCAAAUUACCAAAAAUUUGUAAAAUAAUUGUUGAAGUUCGGCAAUUGAUCAAAGCUUAUAGUCACCAAAUUUUGGAGUUCGGAUUUGAAUGUUAUUUAUAUCGUUUUAGGAAAAUAAAAAAUUAACAAUUCAUGGUCUUAAUUCAAACCUAAACAAUGAUAGACAUGACUGAUUCUUUCACACGAUUCAUAUUACCAAGCCAUAAAUAUGUUAGAGAAGAAAUAUCCCAUAUCAGAAAAUGGACAAAGAAAAAUAUAACUUAUAAGUAGAUAGAUCAUACUCAAUUGUACCGAAACCUUUUAUGGUUAAAAACCAACUCUUUAAAUUAAGACAGUAUCAAUACAGUAGUGAUCUACAAGCCAUUCUUGUCCUUGUUCAGGUAUAUAUAGGCAAUGUCGAGUGACUCGAGUCUUGUUUGUUUCUCACAUAAUGCAAUUUAGAAUUAAAUAGCUAUGCAAAAUAAUUGUCCCUAUGAUAUUCAUUUGUGUCACAAUCGACAGGAUCAAAUGUACUUUAUUAAAUAACGAUACUCAUAACCAAAAUUUUAUCUAAAUAAUGUAGGAUUCAAAAACUAAAAAAAAAAUAUAUAUACAAGGUUGAGCAUGAGUAAUAUAAUCAUAUGUUUUGAUAUCAUCACAUAACAUUUUAUUUAGAUAAUGUAGCUCAUUUGAAAAAUAACUAUAGAACGAAAUAGAGUUGACUCAAUCCGACAAAAUGAAAAUAAUCUCAAGAGAUAAUUUUGGUUCAACUUUAGUUGACUCAUGUACUUUUUUCAUUCCCUUUAAAAAUGUAAUUCGAUUUAUUAGGUUAAUUUUAAUCAAAAAUAAAUUAUUUAUUACAAAUACAACAAUGAAAAUAAUAAAUAGAUAAUCAUACUUAAUCCUAAUUCUAAUAGCAAAUUUUACACGCCUACCCCUUAUAAGAGCACAAGGGAUCUACAUCAUUCAUAAUAGGUAAAUAGGUAAAUUCCAUAUUUAAUGCGUUUUAACAUAAUAAAUAAAGAAGGAUAAAAAGUCUGACUAAACAUUUAAAAAUUGUAUUAAUUGCGUUUUGGAAUUAAUUACCAGUUAAUAUUUACCCUAACCUUAAUUUUACCAUGUUCAUUCAAUUUUUUUUUUGUCUCGAUUCUCUUUAACGGUGUUAGUAUUGAUUCAAUUUUUUUUGCUGCGGAUACAUAUGCAGCUUGUGGGAUCUGAUUGACAAUGCUUCAUUCUAUCACAUAUUGUACAACAUUAAGCAAUGACUCUAAAGGUUAAGUGAAAGGGAUAUGAGCGCGUUUGUUAUGGGGGAUUAUGUACCCCUGGCUUAAUUUCUUUAGUAGUCUUGCACUCCACAAGCAAGGCUUAUCUUAUAGCAAGCUUGACCCAUGUUUGGUGUUAGUGGACUAUUAUUAAAACUAAACAAUCAACCUAAAAGCAUAACUGCAUAACCAUCGUGAUCCCCAUCAUGACCGCCUCCUCACCUCACCUUCAUUCCCCCCACAACAACUCAGCCUCCUAGAAAUCAACCCAAAAGCAUAACCAUCGAAUUCGAUGUCACCCAGUUUUCUCCGAUGCCGUCGACCACCUUAUUUGAAACUCCACCACCUCCUUUGAUGUCGCCCAGCUCUCUCUACAGUGUGUAGAGUUGUUAGAGCUGCUGACGCCAAAGAGGGAGAUGAGGUUGGUAUGGUGGUUGCAAGAGAUCUGUUGGAGAUCCAGGAAGGGUUGAUCAGGCGGAGGAGGAGUCCAGCAGCAGCGGCAGCGGCGAAAUCCAAACGAAGAAAUUGAAGAGAUUUGAUGUUGAGGCGCGAAAAACACUUCUUCUGUAAACCCACCAAUUUUGGGGCCGUUAUGUAAGAAGGUGUUGACCCUGUUUUUGGGACUCCAUAAGCUCAUUAAACGCAGUCCCUGGUGCUGCCAAACACAGGUUUCGGCUUGCUACAGUAACUAAUCCAGUCCAAUCCCAUCUAGUCCCCCGUAACAAACAUGCACAUCUUAUAUAUAUAAGCAAACUGUGUUUUUCACUGAUCACGUGAAUAGUGAAGCGACCAUUAUUCCCCUGCAUUUAUUUCUUUUUUACGUCUGUGCCAUUCUAACUUAUAUUGACUGAUUUGCCCUUAACUAGCAGAAUGACAGUGUUGCCCCUACUUCAAAUUUAUUUACCAUACUGCCAUUAGUCUGAUUGUAAAGACGUUUAUACCCCUAUUUUGAUUUUAUUUACCAUGCUGUCAUGAUAUGUCAUAAAAAGACAGUAGUGCCCCUGUCUGCAUUUUAUUUUAUUUUUUUUAAAAGAAAAAAUAUUCAUGGUGCUUCCCGUUGUGACCCGUGUCGGGAUUGAUAUCGAAACGUCUCCUCAGUAUUGGUGGGUGACAUCUAUUUCUUUCUAGCAAGCAACAUGACACGGGCAAUUGCAACUUGAACAGUGACCUACCGAAUUUAUCCCCGUGUUUUUUAAGCUAUUUCAGUUUUGCCACUCCCUCAGUUUUUUUUUAUUUGAGUUUUGCCCCUCCAUUUUUUCCUUUUAUUUCAAUUCUGUCUUUCACCCCUCAGUUUUCUAUUUAAGAUUUGCCCCUUCAUUCUUCCUUUUAUUUCAGUUUUGGCCCUCAGUUUUUGGCUUUCUUUCUGUUUUCGUACUCAGUUUUUUUUGUUAAUGUUAUACAUUUUUUUUUAUCAAAUGCACAAUUAAUGUGCUAUACUAUUGUGAGUCGAACUCACGACCUCUCACUUAUAAGGAGAGAUUUAUGCCACUAUACCAAACGGUACUGGGAAAUGCUAUACAUUUUGCAAAAAAAAUGAAAAUUGCAUUCUAAAAAAAAACAACAAUAAUAAUGAUAAUAAUAUUGAUAAGAGAAAAUUAAAUAUUUUUACGUUGAUCAAUGUCAAUUGCGUUUUAAACGCAAUCUGUUGUUUGUGAGUUUCGAACAACAAAUUAUCAAAUUAAGAAAAAUUGCACAAUAAUUAUCAAACUGGCAGAAAUCGCACUCCCGCACACGCGCGAGUGGGUGUAGGAAGGCUAGUAUAUAUAUACUCCCUUGGAAAUCAACAAUUGUUACACUUACAUGGAAAUCAAAAAUUGUUACACUUACAUGGAUCUGUUAUUAGACUUUGUUCCUGCACUACACAAGUACAUAUCAGGUCCAUUUUAUCCCGAAUAUCAGCAUGUGAGGACCCCAUAACUAAUCGUUCGGUUAACUUGCUUCCCAAGAGUGAAAAGGGUAUAGGUUGUAGGUUCUAGGCACCAGCAGUGCUCCAAGAGUGAUUGUUUCAGCACCUGCAAAUGAAUUUGAUCUUCUAUCUCAAAGAGUAAUGCAGCACCAUACUUUUUUUCCUCAUAAAUUUCAAUCUCAAAACCGUCUUGGCUAUGGUCAUGCUUCACAAAUAUACUUAAAAUGCUAACCAUAACUAAUUUUCAACUAAUAUGUUGUUGUCUAUUAUGUUCAGAGAGAAUCCUGCUUUCAAGGCAGCAGUGAGAAUUUUCACAAUGGGCGAAAGCCAGACACAAAGCUUUUUUAAAGAACCUAAUUUUCCUUCAAGCGUGCGAAAUACUUGAAUGGGUGCAUGCUUCUGCAUAUCCAGUAACAUGGUAAAAUGCUUGUUUUUAUAUGCUUCAAGUUAUUUCAUCAGUGUUCAAAUAGUAACUAAACUUACAAAAACAGAAACAGACUGGACUUCCUGAUUAUUUUGGAACAGAGUAGAGACUCCUUUUUUCUUUUCCCUGCCUUUUUAUGUGAAAUGCCUGUAACAGUAUGAUGUACUUAGUAGAUCAGAUUUUGUAACAUGUGCUGAAAACAACUUGAGCUGUGCAUGCCGCAUCUUCAAUUCUUGCCAGCUUACUGUUGCAUGUCAAAAGCAUGAUCCUCCCAGACCAACCUAUCAGAUAAUGUAAUAGUUAAGAACUUGUAUAUUACUUCAACUCUAAGUCACUGUAUAUAUAAAUGUAGGAUAUCCAUAAAUGUAUAUAUGAACCAAAAAUAUGAUAUCAAAAGUUACUUCAGAAUCCUUUUAUUAGAUGUGAGUUAACAAACUAAAGCAAUCUGGUUCAUUUAAAACCAUUUCAUAAGAAAUGAACUCCCAACCCAGGUAAGUGGCCCAUCUGUUCUGUACUUAUGUCUGUGUAUGAUCUAGAAGCUGCCUAUUAUAUGAUAGGUAGCCUAUCAUGAAACUUGAAUUGUUUUAAGAAGCAGUCUAACUUUCAAGAUUUGAAAAAAAAAAAUCUGUUUUGCAGGGUUGCGUGAACUUGGUGGUUGCUGCUGGCUCCACUGAAUUGCAAAGGACUCCUUCCCCCAAUAAGUCUGUCAGGUUGUCAAGGACAUGGCUGUAUAUUCAAAUGCCAGAUUAUAAAGAAAAUUUAAGCUCGGGAAGGCUGGACUGGAUUCUCUAACACUGCUGUAACUGAGUUUGACAGGUUAGUAAUCAAGUUGGGUAUUUCUAGUUGUGUGGUGCAUAUUGAUACUGCCCUUAUGGACUUUCUAUAGUACAUCUGACUCUAUAAGACAUCCAGGAAUGAGAAGGGCCUCACUCCAAUUGGUUGCUUCCCUCACUUAGCUCAUUAUGGCGACUAUCAAGGGAUGCUGCGCUGAGGAUUAUUACUCUUGAGGAUAUCAAUCUCAACUUCAUUGAUACCUUCUCAGAGUUCAGGCAUUGUUUCUUCCGGAGAACACAGGAUAUUAUUAAUGACUCAAGGCACGAGAGGUGAUCAAAAGUUCACAACUACAGGCACUUUCUUGGGUUUGUUUAACAACUGAAGAUUAUGCAGCAUAGACAGCAAUGCUAAUCGAUUACCUAAGAUUAUAUCGACAGCAAGACAAUGUAAUUCUAUGAUACUUUUCUGCGGCAAACAUCUAUGUAAACACUGAAUCUUUCCUAUGCUGUGUCUUAGUUUCGAUGCCAAUUGAAACAGUGGAUAAUGAUAUGAUCUAAACAUUUCAUGGUACCAGAAAUCAUGAACUUGUUGGAAAAAGAAAAUGAAUGAAAGAAUUAGAGAGAAGGAAUAGUACCCCGGAGGUUCGUAGCCAAGGAAACAGCUAAUGUGGUGUUGAAACACAGCCAAUGCAAGAUUCACAUGAGCCAAUCCAUCUUGAAUGUUGCCGUGUCCGCCUUCAUCGUCGAUGUGGCAGUCGGCAUUAUACACCAGAAAACUGUGGAUGGCCAACGCCGACGUGCUGAUCAUUCUCGCAGUGACGCUAAUCUGCCGAACCUCCGCGGGGAACACCUGGACUUCCGGUUCGAACUCGAAGCGAUGAGCGAUAUCAUUAAUGGAGCCUUGGAUUCUGACCGCCGCCUGCGUCAUCCUUUCCAGGCAGGCCCGCAUCACGUCCAAGAUCGCCGGCCGAUUGACUUCCACCGCCUCCGCCUCAGCCGCUUCAAAUUCAAGAAAAUCCAUGCCCUGAUUCAUGCGAUCCAGUCCGUAAUCUAGUCUUUGCAGCGCGUGAUUGAACCCUGCCAAGCCGCGAUUAACAUUUGCCUGAAUUACGCCGGCAUUCACCUGAGGGACGCCGCCGGCAUUCGCCUGAGGGCCGCCGCCGGCGUUUGCCUGAGGGUUGUCAUGAGCGACGAGGCCGUUAGCAUGAGGACCGCCGGCAUUUGCGUUAGGGACGGGGAAGACUGGAGGGCCGCCGACGCCAUUUGCCUGAGGACCGAUGCCGUUUGCCUGAGCACCGGCAGCGACGUUUGCCUGAGCACCGGCAACGCCGUUAGCCUGAGCACCAGCAGCGACGUUUGCCUGAGCACCGGCAACGCCGUUGGCCUGAGCAACGCCUCCGGCAUUUGCCUGAGCACCGGCAGCGACGUUUGCCUGAUCACCGGCAGCGACGUUUGCUUGAGGACCGCCAACGCCGUUUGCCUGAGCACCGCCGUCGGCAUUUGCCUGAGCAUUGUCGUCGUCGUUGUUCAUGGUGGAGGUUUUGGAAUUUAGGGUUUUGGUUUCUUGAGUGGUUUUCUUGAUGGAGCAAGAAGAGAAAUGAAAGCUAACAGAAUUUGGGAAAGGGGGAAAUCCUUGGUUCGUAAAUGGCUUUAUAUGCUCUCACCCGGAUGAGAUGUUCUCACUUUGGACCGGGUAUUCCAAGGCCCAACAACAAACAAGGCCCAUGAGUUUGACCUUUUUUCUUUUGGUUGACUGAAUCGAUUUUUAUAUCAGAGUAUUCAAACUCUGGCUGCUUCUUUUCAUCAUUGCAUUUUUUCUUUAUGUUUGGAGGCAGGAAAAUUUUACAGCUGAUGUUUUGGUAAAGUUGGGACAUAAUCUACAGUGUGCUAGCUGGUCUUUUACUUUUCUUGUUUUUGUUUCUCUGUACGUUUUGAUUUGAGUCAAUUAGGUUGUUGUAAGGUUUUUCGUUGUAAAUUUUGUUUCUACUCAUUAAAAAAAAAAGCUGAUUACAUUUUUUUUUGUUUUAAUAAUUUCUUAAAUAUAUAAAUUACAAAUCUUAUAGAAGUGCGGCUAUUGGGACCUCUAAAUUUGUUCAGUAUACAUCUCAUUCUUUCUACAUAUCUAUUUUAUUUUUAAAUGCAAGCAUUUGCUCAUUAGACCUCAUUUUAAAUUCAUAAAAUAGCCUUAUUUAUGUAAUUCAUGUAUAUUUUAAUAUAUUACUCAUUACACCUCUAUUCACUCACUAUACCUCCAAUUAUUUUUUUCUUUUUCCUUUUUUGCAUGCGAACAUCCAUUCCCGACUUCCAUUGUUUNNNNNNNNNNNNNNNNNNNNNNNNNNNNNNNNNNNNNNNNNNNNNNNNNNNNNNNNNNNNNNNNNNNNNNNNNNNNNNNNNNNNNNNNNNNNNNNNNNNNNNNNNNNNNNNNNNNNNNNNNNNNNNNNNNNNNNNNNNNNNNNNNNNNNNNNNNNNNNNNNNNNNNNNNNNNNNNNNNNNNNNNNNNNNNNNNNNNNNNNNNNNNNNNNNNNNNNNNNNNNNNNNNNNNNNNNNNNNNNNNNNNNNNNNNNNNNNNNNNNNNNNNNNNNNNNNNNNNNNNNNNNNNNNNNNNNNNNNNNNNNNNNNNNNNNNNNNNNNNNNNNNNNNNNNNNNNNNNNNNNNNNNNNNNNNNNNNNNNNNNNNNNNNNNNNNNNNNNNNNNNNNNNNNNNNNNNNNNNNNNNNNNNNNNNNNNNNNNNNNNNNNNNNNNNNNNNNNNNNNNNNNNNNNNNNNNNNNNNNNNNNNNNNNNNNNNNNNNNNNNNNNNNNNNNNNNNNNNNNNNNNNNNNNNNNNNNNNNNNNNNNNNNNNNNNNNNNNNNNNNNNNNNNNNNNNNNNNUGAUCAAAUUGUAGAAAUAACUAUCAAUUUUCAAGAAAAGUUCAUUCGAAUCAUGUAGAAUACUAUACUCUUAAAAAAUUAAAAAAAAAAAGAACAAGGGUUGUGUCUCAACUUUUAUAUAUCGAUCAUCAAAAUAAUGUUUUUACAUGAAUUAUUCUAUAUUUUUUUUCUUUUAUAUUUCUGUUUUACAUAUAAAUUUUUUUUGUAAGUUUUUUGUUUUUGUUUUUAUACCUCAUGAUGAUAAAUUAUUUUAAUACUUAUUUAUUUUUAAUAAUUAAUAGAUCAUAAUUUUUGUAAAAAUAUCUUUUCACUUUGUAUAUGCAUGCAUAUGACAUGUAUAAUAAUAUAAAUAUAUAAAUGCUUUAAUAAGUAUGUGGUAAAACUAUAAAAUAAAAAUCAAUACAAAAAAUAAUAAAAUGCAAUUCAUUAUUAUUGAAUUAAAAAGUUUAGUAAUAUUACUUUUUGUUUAAUUAGUGUCCUUAAUAGUCAUUGUGUAAGAGAAUAUAUAUGUCAUUUAAUAAUUCAUAAUAGAGUGAGGUCAGAGUGAGGUCAAGUGAGCAAAUUUGGAGGUUCCAAUAGCCACACUCAUUUUAUAGCUAGGAGUACAAUCUUUUUGUUUGUUAAAUUUAUGGCUUUUUAGCCAAAUUGCUACCCUACAUUUCACCUUAGUGUCAAUUUGCUACCUUAACUUUCAUUUCAGCCAAUUUGUUACCCUAACUUUUCAUAAUUAGCCAAUUUGUUACCCUAACUUUUCAUAAUUAGUCAUUUGCUACUCUAACUAUUAUUUCUGCCAAUUUGCUACAUUAGUGUCAAUUUGUUACCCAAACUUUCAUUUCAGUCAAUUUAUUACCCUAACUUUCAUAAUUAGCCAAUUUGUUACUCUAACUAUUAUUCUGCCAAUUUGCUACCUUAGUGUCAAUUUGUUACCCAAACUUUCAUUUCAGUCAAUUUGUUACCCUAACUUUUCAUAAUUAGCCAAUUUGUUACUUUAACUAUUAUUACUACCAAUUUGCUACUUUAUAUUUUCAAAAUUAGCCAAUUUGCAACCAUUUUGUAUUUUUAUUUUGUUCAUUUCUUCAUGCAAACAUGCAAACAUGAAUUAAUUCUGAAAAUCAAAGGUUAAAGUUGGUCGAUAUUGAAAUUUUAAUAAAUAAAUUAGUUAAUCUUGAAAGCCUAAAGUAGCAAAUUUGAUGAAAGCGUAACAAAUUGGCAGAUUUAAUAAUUAGGGUAGCAAAUUGGCUAAUUAUGAAAAGCUAGGGUAGCAAAUUGGCGGAAAUGAAAGCUUGGGUAGCAAAAUGACACUAAUGUGAAAGUUAGGGUAUCAAAUUGGCAAUUAUGCCUAAAUUUAUAAGAAGAGAUGUUGUAUUUUUUUAUCAAAAAGCCCACCAUUUGUUAGAAGUAGGUUCAAAAUUGUCUUCCACUGCCUGCUUCUUCACCAAACAAUCAAUCCUAUCCUACAGAAGACGAAGCAAAGGAGUAAGAGUGUCAAAGCUGCUGGAUCAUGAGACAACGGCCAAUUCAUUGAUCAAAAAAUAUAGUUGAAGAAACUUGCCGGAAUAUCAUUUUAUGAAAGUGCUUCCGAAAUCAUGAAUUUCGUAACAGGGAAUAAGAUGCAGAAAUUAGCCAUUUCUAUGAUCUAGGUGUCCAUAAUAACCACCACAACAUGCAUGGUCCACAUGAAUAAAAGAGCUUUUCAAAUUCCAGGUGCAAUGGCCUGGACAUGAAAAUAGAUGAAAAGGAAAUUGCAAAGUGCUCUUAGUCAAGAGAAUCAAGAAACUGUAAAUAUUGCGAUGUAUUAACCUUCUCCAAUUAAGAAUGGAGUAUAUAUAAAAGGAUAUAGCAAUCCUAUUAGGAAACUAAUUACAAUAGGAUAUUACUUGAUACUCCUAAUAACACAAUAAUACACACAACCCUAGCAUCACACAGAAAUGACCCAUAUAUGUUGACACUCCUCCUUAAGUUGGCGCAUACAGAUUACAAAUGCUCGACUUGUCAAGCGAGUCAUAAAAUGCAUUACUCGAUAGCGCAUUUGUAAGGAUGUUUGCCAACUGCUCAUCGGUAGGAACGAAGGGAAACAUGAUCACUCGUGCAUUCAACUUCUCUUUAAUGAAAUGUCGAUCUACCUCCACAUGUUUCGUUCUAUCAUGCUGAACAUGAUUAUGAGCAAUUUCAAUUGCAGCCUUAUUAUCACAAUACAACGGCAUUGCCCUCCUCUGCUUAAACCCCAAAUCUCUCAAUAGAUGUCUCAACUACAACAUCUCACAAAGUCCUUGAGUCAUCCCUCUAUGUUCUGCUUCAGCGCUAGAACGAGCUACUACAUUUUGCUUCUUUCUCUUCCAAGUAACCAAGUUACCUCCUACAAAUGUGAAAUAGCCCGAAGUAGACCUACGGUCUGUAAUAUUACCUGCCUAAUCGGGAUCUGUGUAUUAAAAAACAUCCAAGUGAUUGUGUUUUGAAAAAAUUAAUCCUUUUUCCAGGAGCAGAUUUUAAAUACCGCAAAAUACUAAAUACAACAUCCAUAUGGGCCUCACUAGAAUUAUGCAUAAACUGACUCACGACACUAACAACAUAGGCUAAAUCUGGUCUUGAGUGAGACAAAUAAAUCAACCGGCCAACUAACCUCUGAUAUCACGCUUUAUUUGUAGGCACUUGAUCCAAAUACUCUGCUAACUGGUGGUUCUGUUCAAUAGGAGUAUCAGCCGGUUUACAGUCGAGCAUGCUUGUCUCUGCUAACAAGUCCAGGCCAUACUUCCUCUGACUUAGCACAAUACAAUCUUUCCCACGAGCAACUUCAAUUCCCAAAAAAUACUUCAAACUACCCAAAUCUUUCAUCUCAAAUUCAGAAGAUAACUGACUUUGUAACCUUUGAAUUUCUUCACUGUCAUCCCCUGUCACAACCAUAUCAUCCACAUGAAUAAUUAAAGUUGUCACCUUUCCACACCGAUGCUUAAGAAACAAAGUGUGAUCCGACUUACUCUGUCGAUACUCGAUCUUCUUCAUGAACAUAGAGAAUCGUCCAAACCACGCUCUAGGUGAUUGCUUUAGACCGUAGAGAGACUUUUUCAAUUUGUACACCACCUGUUCUCCGGUGGAAGUACCAUAUCCAGGAGGCAGAUCCAUAUAGACUUCUUCAUGCAAAUCACCAUGCAAGAAAGCAUUUUUAACAUCAAAUUGCUGCAAAGGCCAAUCAAGGUUAGCAGCUAGUGAUAAAAGUACUUGUAUUGUGUUAAUUUUGGUCACUGGUGCAAACGUUUCAUCAUAAUUCACCCCAUACUUCUGAGUAUAGCCUUUCGCAACUAACCUUGCCUUGUACCUAUCUACCGAACCAUCAGAAUUAUGUUUCAUAAUAUAAACCCAUCGACAACCAACUGGCUUCUUCCCAGGUGGUAAUGUCACUAAAUCCCACGUACAAUUUUUUUUCAAGAGCAUCCAUCUCAACUUUCAUUGCUUGCAUCCACCUUUCAUCCCGCAUUGCAUCCUGCACUUUACUAGGGAGAGACACAAUAGACAAUUGAUUCACACAUGCAACCUAUGGUUUAGACAACCUAUGGGUUGACACAUAAUUAGCAACAAGAUAUCUAGCUUUUGCACUUAGAGUAGGUUCAUAGUGUUUUAGAGGUUGACCACGAGUGACACGGUUAGGCAACUGUUUGGUAGGCAUAUUAACAGACAUAGAAGAAGAAUUAGAAGUUACCUCGGGUAAUGAUUGAGCAGGUGAGACUAAUGAAGCAGGCGAGGGAGAGACUACUGUUUCAGAAUAGUUACUGCUUUGAGACCAAUCAACUGGGUUCAGAAGAUCAAUGGAAUUUUGAGGCAAACUACUUUGCCUCCAAUUUCUACGAUUUUUUUCUACUUUGGCCUGAUUAGAUUCUUCUGCUUCAACACCUGACAAUCUCUUAUCUUUUCCUUCUUUAAUGAUUGGAUUAGUAAGAGCCGGACGACUGCCCAAAACACAAUCACCAUCAAUACCCAAUCUUCCUUUCCGAACAGAACUGUCGCCAUCGACGCAAGGAUUGGAUUCAAGGUCGGCCGACUGUUGUUGUGUCAGGCCGUCGUCCGCCAAUUUUCCCUUUGUUCGACCACAGCUCUCAUGCCUGGACUCCAUCAUCCGAUCGCCGCUCUCAUGUCUGGACUCCAUUGUCUGACUGUCGCUGAGAGGUGUCGUCCGAUCGUCAACAAAAGUAGGGCAACAAGUCGGUCGCCGCCUUCUGCCAUCGUCGCUUAGAACAACAAAAGUGGACGACGGGUCGUUGCAAUUAAGACGACCAGUUGGUUGGUCCUUGCCUUUAUUUCCAUGUUCUGUGUCCAAAUUUGUCCCUGUUGACUCCUCAGACACUUGGUUCUCAAUGAACAAAUCCUUAUAAUUUAUCCUUGUUGACUCCUCGGACACUUGGUUCUCAAUGAACAAAUCCUCAUAAUAAUAAGAUUUCUCCCCUUGAUGAGGUGUCGCAGAAGGCAAAAAAUAACACAUCUCCUCACUGAACGUAACAUCCAUAGUGACAUACAUCUUUUGGGAUGGAGGAUGAUAACACUUAUAACCUUUUUGGUGAGAACCAUACCCCACAAAAACACACUUAAGGGCUCUAGCAUCUAAUUUUGACCUUUGGUUUUUAUACUGAUGAACAUAAGCGACAUAACCGAAGACACGAGCAGGAAGAGUGUUUAACGAUGGAAUAGGAACGUAUUGAGACAAGACAUCAAGUGGAACACGACCUUGAAGAGGAGCUGCCGGAAGACGAUUGAUAAGAUGAGACACACACAACAUGGCCUCUCCCCAUAAGUACUUAGACAUGUUAACACUUAAGAGAAGAGACCGAGCCAUGUCCAAGAGAUGACGAUUCUUACGUUCAGACACCCCAUUUUGCUCGGGUGUCUAUGGACGCGAAGUUUGAUGUAUGAUUCCAUGGUGUUGAAAAUACUCAUGGAAAGAAUGAUUAACAAACUCUCCUCUAUUAUCUGAACGAAAGACUUUGACACGAGCAUCAUAUUGAGUACAAAUAACUUUAUGAAACGCCGUAAAGGCAGAAAACACAACAUCUUUUGACUUAAAUAAUACCACCCAAGACAAACGAGUAAAAUCAUCAAUGAAUAACACAAAGUAAUGCAUUCCUGAAAGAGUAGAAUUUUUGGAAGGACCCCAUAAAUCCGAAUGAAUCAAUUCAAAACGUAUAGUACUUGAAUGAAAACUCAAAGGAUAACUAGACCAAUGACUCUUAGCCAAAGCACAAGUCUCACAAUGCAGGCUAGACUCAUCAAUACCCAAAAACAAUGAAGGCAUGUUCUUUUUCAUAACUCCAAAAGACAGAUGGCCCAACCGUCUGUGCCAGAGCCAUAGCUCACUCAAUCGAUCAGAAAUUAAUGUCAGGGCCAAAGGCUGCUCCGGUGUUUGUAUCGACUCUGCGUACAUGCAAUCCAAGUGAAACAAUCUCCCUUGCCAAUGAUCACCCGGGUGCACAAAUUCUGAAACACAACAUACAUGGGAUAAAAGGUUACAGAGCACUUAUUUUGCGAACUCAACUGAGAAACAAACAAAAGAUGAUGGGACAACAUGGGUACAUAAAGCACGUCAUGUAAUACAAUGGAUGGUGUAACCUGACAGACCCAAUACCUAAAACUGAAAAAGAUGCACCAUUUGCCUUUGACACAUGAGAUAUAUAAGGGGAUGACAUAGACACAAAAAAUUAUUUAUCAUAGGUCAUAUGGUCGCACCGAAAUCAAUAAUCCAUGUGUCCCCACCAGUAAAGUCAGAAACAUGUAAAGCAACACCAAUUUUACCUCGAUUUUCCUUAGUCAAGGAAACAUUACCCUUUGUGAGAUCCUGCACUCCAAUGCCGUAAAAAUCAGGUUCCAGCACUAGUUGGACCGCUGCUUUGCCAUUUGGACCACCACCACUACCUCCACGUCCUCCACGUCCUCCGUUGUUAUUUCCUCCUCUCCAACCAGGAUUGUUGGAAUUGAACUUGCGGACCUUAUGACAUUGACUCCUGGUAUGGCCAACCUCCUGGCAAUAGUACCAAGUCACUUGGUUCACUACUGAAAAAAAACACUUAGGAGACGAAACUAUUUCGUCUCCUAAGUGACAAAUUUUGUCUCCUAAGUACUUAGGAGACGGAACGUCCGUCGGCUAAGAUCCGUCGCCAAAGUGUGGUAAGGUAGACAUUUAGGUGACUGAACCUAAAAUUUCGUCGUCUAAGUGGUUCUUAGGAGACGGAAUACUUUUGUCUCCUAAGCACUUAAGCGAUGAGUUUUAUUUUAUAAUAAAAAAAAUUAUCCACUUAGGAGACGGAAUAGUUGAAUUCCGUCGCUAAAGGUUGAAAAAAAUUAAAAAUAAAAACAUCACCACAAGUUUUUUAUCCAUUCACUCCGACCGCCCCAAAUACCACCACCACCACCGCAGGUUUCAGAAGUCACAACUAAAUGUCAUAAACUUCUUCUCAUCCUACAUAUAAGUAGUAAAAACUUGCAUUUAUAAACUGAAUAUGGAAAAAAUAAAAUUUACUGCCCCCCCCAGUAAACUUCUACUGGGGAUCAGUAAACUUGCAAAAAAUAACUCCCUUUCAAUUUCAUGGGCACAAUACAUAACAGAUACCAAUUCAUACCUUAAUAAACAACUUUAUUGGCCUCUAGUGAACCCAGUAGAAGUUUAUUGCCCUCUAGUAAACUUCUACUAAGGGUUAAUAAAAUUUAAUACAGUAUCUCCCUUUCAAUUUCAUGUCAAUUAUACACAACAGAUACUCAUUCUUACCCUUAUAAACAAAUUCAUUACUCCCUAGUAAACCCAGUGGAAGUUUACUGCCCCCAGUAAACUUCUACUGGGGGUCAGUAAACUUCAAUACAGUAUCUCUCUUUCAUAGUGAUUCAUAAUUUUUUUUUGUAAACAAAAACAUUUCGUCUCCUAAGUUCUACUUAGGCUACGGAAUGUAGUUCCGUCUCCUAAGUGAUUCAUAUAAAUUUUUUAAUUUUAUUUUUUCAAAAUGCCGUUGUUUAAGUAAAAAUAUUCCGUCUCCUAAGUAGUACUUAAGCGACGGAAUGAAAUUCAGUCUCCUAAGUCGUUCUUAGGAAAUAUUUCGUCUCCUAAGAACAAUUUAGAAGACGGAAACUGUUUCGUCGCCUAAGUAGAAAAUUCCGUCGCUUAAGUACCACUUAGGAGACGAAAUUUUUUUAAUUCCGUCGCCUAAGUGCUAUUUUCCAGUAGUGGUUAUAAUUCUGAUAUCUCGGAUUUCGUGGUUGAUACUGGUUUUGAGAUGGACUAGGGAUGGGUUCCCAAUCUGAGGUUGAGGUGACGGUGUAGCAUGGAUUGGUAGACAAGAAAUUUCAGUAUGAAGACCUUUUUGUGGCUAUUUUGUUAGCUUCAUCUCUUCGAAUAUAAUUAGCAAAAGCUUGCUCCAAUGUUGGUGGAGUAGCAAGACGCAAUAACUCAUUCUUUGGUACUUCAAAGUGAGGAUCCAAACCCGCAAGAAACACAUGAACAUGCAUCUUGUCUUGUUCAUUUCGAUAGGUAGUGAUAUCUGCUUCACAUGACAUAGGAUUGGGAUUUCUUUGAUCAAGCUCCUGCCAGAUUGUUUUCAAAUUUGCAUAGAACGUCGUCACAGGCUGUCCACUUUGUCACAGAUGGAAUGCUUUCACAUUUAAUUCAUGGACACAAGCAAAGUCAUUCCCAUCAUAAUAGGUAGCAGCAACCGAGUCCCAAAUUGCCUUGGGAGAAUCAAAAUUAGAAAACAACUGCAUGAUCUCCGGAGUCAUAACUUUGAGAAGAAUUCCCAUCACAUUAGUAUUUGUCGUAUCCCAUUCUUCAGCUUUUGGUUUAGUAACAGGUUUUACAGCACUACCAUCAACAUAGCUCCAUUUUCCCAUUCCCUUGAUAUGAAUCUUCAUAAGUCUUUCCACAACUGAUAGUUGGUGCCAUCAAGCUUGUCACCAAAACUAGAGUUGUUGGUCAGACAUUCUUCCUUCCUUUUUUUUUCUUUCAAACUAUUCAACUCACAAACGCGAACACACUUCCACAAUUAUUGAUCCAAGUCUCUGACCAUCUUGGACCAAUGUAACAAUCAAACACCACCUAAACCCAAUUAACAAGGUUUAGACCAAUAUGCUGAACUACCUUCACAAACUACAAACGACCUUCUACAAACGCCAACGAAUGAAACCACAACAACCAAAGAGAACCACAACGAGCAAAGAGAACCCUGUGACGAAAAGAAAAUCCCAUAACCAAAAAAGCCAAAUUCGCAGCGGAAAAUGAUAGAAGCACAAAGUGUUAUGUUUAUAAUGCAUUUCCGACCCUAUUUAGCUAUCACUACUGGAAAAAAGCACUUAGGAGACGAAAUUUCGUCUCCAAAGUACUUAAGAGACGGAACGUCGGUCGACUAAGAUCCGUCGCCUAACUGUGGUGAGGUAGACACUCACCACACUUAGGCGACGGAACCUAAAAUUCCGUCUCCUAAGUGAUUCUUAGGAGACGGAAUACGUUCGUCUCCUAAGCAUUUAGGCGACGGAUUUUAUUUUAUAAUAAAAAAAAUUAUCCACUCAGGAGACAGAAUAGUUGAAUUCCAUCGGUAAAUGCUGAAAAAAAAUUAAAAAAAUAAAAACGUCACCGCAGAUUUUUUAUCCACUCACUCUGACCGCCCCAAAUACCACCACCGCAGGUUUCAGAAGUCACAAAUAAAUGUCUUGAACUUCUUCUCAUCCUGCAUAUAAGUAGUAAAAACUUGCAUUUAUAAACUGCAUAUGGAAAAAAUAAAAUUUACUGCCCCCCAGUAAACUUCUACUAGGGAUUAGUAAACUUGCAAAAAUAACUCCCUUUCAAUUUCAGGGGCACAACACACAAUAUACCAAUUCUUACCUUAAUAAACAACUUUAUUGGCCCCUAGUGAACCCAGUAUAAGUUUACUGCCCCCUAGUAAACUUCUACUAGGGAUCAGUAAAAUUCAAUACAGUAUCUCCCUUUCAAUUUCAUGCCAAUUAUACACAACAGAUACAUAUUCUUACUCUAAUAAACAAAUUCAUUGCCCCCUAGUAAAGCCAGUGGAAGUUUACUGACCCCCAGUCCCAGUAAACUUCUACUAGGGGUCAGUAAACUUCAAUACAGUAUCUCCCUUUCAAUUUCAUGCCAACAAUCUGCCCCAAAUAUACCACCACCACCACUGUACCAAAUAACCACUAUGCCACCACCAUCAUACCAAUCACAUCCUAACCAAAAUUAAAAUCAAAAUCAAAUUAAACAAAAACACAUAAAUCUAUCACCAAAGCUCAUUAAACCAGAAAAAUUGAAGAACUUACCUUGAUUUCUUACCCCUUUGAAAUUUCGAGGGACGGUGGUGGGUCGGCGAGAAGGCUUGGUAGAGAGAGAAAGGUGGCGGCAGCGGUGUCUGUGGUGACCCAGAUCUAAGGCUUGGUGCAAGAAAAUGGGACGAGGAGCUUGCUGGCGGCGGGGACCGGUGAGUCGGGUCGGGUCGAGAGGGAGAGGUUGUUAGCUUUGAGGAGGGCGCGGAGGUGGCCGGGUGAUGUUGAAGAGGGUCUUGACGGCGUUGAGAGUGGUGGCGUUUGUGGGGACGAAGUCGAUGAGCGCGUGGCAUUUGGAGGUGGCGUUGGUGGGAGUGGUGCAGUUGAAGGUGGCGACGGAGGAAGGUGCGGUGAGAAUGGAGAGAGAGGCCGGCAUGAGAGAGAGAGAGAGGGAGCUGUAGGAAAAGAUGGGUUUCCUUCUAUUGACAAUGUUGGUGAGUGUGUGAUUUAAAAGAAUUGAUAUGUUUUGACAAAUUUUGGUUUGAAUUUUCAUGAAAUUUUACGCGGGAAGAUGGAUGCUCAAAUUUUUAGAACUUAAACGACAGAAUGUUCUAUUUCUGUCGUCUAAGUGAUUCAUAAUUUUUUUUUUAAAAAAAACAUUCCAUGUCCUAAGUAAACAUUUCCGUCUCCUAAGUUCUACUUAGGCUACAGAAUGUAGUUCUGUCUCCUAAGUGAUUCAUAUAAAUUUUUUAAUUUUUAUUUUUUAAAAUAUCGUCGUCUAAGUAAAAAUAUUUCGUCUCCUAAGUAGUACUCCUAAGUCGUUCUUAGGAGACGAAAUAGUCCUAAGAACAACUUAGGAGACGGAAACUGUUUUGUCACUUAAGUACCAUUUAGGAGACGGAAUUUUUUAAUUUCGUCGCCUAAAUGCUAUUUUCCAGUAGUGUAUGUAAUUCCUUUAACAAUAUUCAUAUUAACUAAGUUUGUAUUUUUAGGUCAUAAAUAAAGCCGAGGAGCCCAAAAGAGACGAAAGAGGAGAUAUCUUGAAGGAAAAAUAAUCCAUGUCAUGCAAGAAAAGAAAUCAGAAAAUCAGUCAGAAAUUAUCAGUCAAAUUCAACAGAAGAUUGUGAUUAGCUCACAACGAUCCACGAGAUGUGCCAUAUAUCAUUGGAAAGCUACAAGAGUCUACUUUCCAGACCUUUUUACGAUCAUCAAUACCUAUUUUGGAGAAGACGUUAUGACCGUUUGAGUGGUCGAAGGUUAGUCUGCCCUAAUUUCUGAUUUGGACCAAAAUUUCUAUUUCGAGGCUCAGACCAUAUUGGCAAGCCCGUAGAUGAGUUUUGAGGGUUUCUUAACCCUAACCACAACAGAAAAGAAGGGGAGAAUGUGAAGAUUAGAGGAGGCUAGCGAUCUCACAUCAUCAUAACCUCCAUAGUUGCAGACUCACAUAAGGAAGCCGCCAAGUCAUCAUUGAUCUCUCCAUCAUCCAUGGUUUAAUUAUCUUUUCUUUUUCAUCUUUUAUUCUUCUUGUGUGAUUUUGCAGCCAUGUGUGGCUGAAUUCUCUUAGUUAGGGGCAAGGUUUGAAGCCCCAAGAAUGUUUUAGAUCUUGUUUUGAACCUUGGUUUCGAAUUAUUGAGUCUUUCAAAUUGUUUAUUUGGUUUUGGUUUAUGGAGAACUCUUACUUGUUUAUGUUCAUGUAUACGCAACAUAGAAUAUUAUGAACUUGUGAGUGGGGCUAGAAUUAGGUUGUUUAAUCUCUUAAACGGUUAAUACGGCUUAGUUCAAAGUAGUAAAACCUAUAAGACAAUAGGUGAAACCAAAUAAAAAAGAUUACAUGCUAGGUAGGCGUUCCACACUAGUUUUGCAUACUUGUUCAAUCAAACUUUCAUUGAUCUUAAUGCUUAGAAUAAUUUGUUGAUAGGAUAGCGUCUAUACCUUGAUUGGUUAUUCUAAAGGCUUGGUAAUGAUGCAUUCAUCUUACUUAAGUAUUCAAGGGAAGUAAUAAGGACUUACGCAGUGCGUUCACGGUUUGUUCUUGAUUGAUACCGAUUUGCGACUUAGUAAUUGAAGCUUUGGUUGUUAACAUGUCUUGAAACAUACUUGGUGGUGGAUUUCUAAGUCUCUAAAGUCUCAUCCAUCUGAUCUUUUCUGCUUUAUUUUGUUUCUUUGUUUUCUCUUGUUUAUAAUCACAAAACCUCAUAUCUCUAGUACUAUUAUCUUUUGUUUUAUCUUGUUUUGUAAUUAACGUAAAUUGUAAAGGUACCCUCAAUCUCCGGUUUUUAUAAUGAUAACCUUAUUUGUUAUAUACUACAAUUGACACAAAAGAGUUUUUAAUUGAAACACCCGAUUUCGGUUGCUAUCAGAAAACAACCGAGUCCUAAAAGAUCUCGGCUCUGAUGCCAAGUCAAGAGAAUCAAGAAACUAUGAAUAUUGCGAUGUAUUAACCUUCUCCAAGAAUGGAUACUAUAUACAGGAUAUAGCAGUCCUAUUAGGAAACUAAUUACAAUAGGAUAUUACUUGAUACUCCUAAUAACACAAUAAUACACACAACCCUAGCAUCACACGGAAUUGACCCAUAUAUGUUGACACUCUUGACAAUUACAUUGUUGGUUACAGUAGGCCCUGCAUUAACACAAUGAGCUAGUCUAGUCACAACUUCAAUGCAACCAUAUUUCCUCAACUUGAGAUACUUUGAAUUGUAAGCAACCAUUUAUUCGACAUAUGAAUUUGAUACCUAAAUAAACUUGUUGAAUACUUGUUAAUUGAGAAGAAUUAACAAAGGUACGUGAUAUAUAUACUUCACCAAAUUCAAUAAUGAUGGUCCUAACUAAGAAAACUUGUUUCAGUUCAUUUCCGCUGUGUUAUAUGAAUCAGGAUUUUGGAAUGGAAGGCGUGCCAUGUAAACCUUUUUUUUUUUUUUUUUUUUCCGGUUACCAUUUCAAAAUCCCAAAGUGCGCAGUUUCUACCGUAUAGUAGAGGUUGUAGGAUAAAGGAUAAAUCAUGCUAAAGGGUAAUAUUGCAGCUGCAGGCUGUGCAGCGUCGAAUGAUCGAUGGCUUGAAAAGGGUGUGUGCUCGAUCGGCGGAUGUGUUCGAUAAUCCUCCAUCAUCGAUCCCUUUUAUGUAUCCUGCUGUUUGAUGCAGCAGCUCCCCCUCCUUGAAUAUUGGUUUAAUUUUUUAGUGCUCUUGUUUUCAGUUCUUGACUCUUGAGUUUUGUGUAAUCUGUCUCUUUAAUUGGUUGUUCUUCUUUGAUGUUCUUGCUCUUCUAAUGCUCUUCUAACCUGCUUUCAUCUUUUCUUCAAUGAUGUCUUCAAAUAAUACCAAAAAAGAAGAAGAAGAAGAAGAAGGGUGGAACAAAUACACAAGAUGAAUCCAAAUCAAGCAAUUACUAAUUAAGAUCUAAGAUCUAAAUCAUACAACCAUAGGAGACAUGCUGCAAAACUAGCUAGUAUUAGCAAAGGAUAAAAGGGGAUAUUUCAAGGAUUGCAAUCCUCAAUUCACAAGAGUAUAUACAUGGCUUGUUUCUAUUUUUAGUUAUAAAAGGGAAAAAUUUCCUAAUUUCCUAAUCCUCAAUCCAACGUUGGACUAGUGCUAGAUAGUUGGUAGAAGCUGACAACUUAAGUGAAAGGGAGAGCUUGUUGAUUUAUAUUCAUGAUCAAAAGGACAAGAGGAAUAUAAAUCGUGGAGCAAGAAAAGAAAACGAAUUAUCAUUUUGAGUAGUCCAAAGUCUACAAUCUAUGAAUUCCAAUCGACGAGUCAAUCCGAGUUGCCGAUCGAGUCAUAGACCGGGACGUCCACCUAAUUCGUAUCAUCUAGCUUUUACAUGCACACCGUCUGAAACAACUUCGCCAUGAAACUAUUGGAGACAAAAACCUUAUACAUACACAAGCGUACGUUAGACUAUUGGAGACAUCAACCUUCUACCACCACUACAAUUAUGAACCUUCUAAAUGAGUCCUUUGGCUUUAUUAUUUCAAUCCUUUCCAAAGAGUAAUUUCAUAUUAUGUAACUUGGAAUGUUAAUACAAUUCUAGACAAAAACAAUCAAAUUGAGUUGGACGGUCUUACCAUGUAUUGAUCCACCAAUUUAAAUGUCAAAAUAUAAAAAUUCACACGUAUAAAACCCUCUUUGCUUCUAAAUAAACCUAACAAUCGAACUGCAUGAGUAAAUACUAUUACCAUGCCAUAAAAUGAAGUUAUGUGUUCAUCAAAGAGGCUUGGUUAGCCAAAAUGAAUGCAAAAUUACCUAUAGAUCAUUACCUCCUAAUAAUUCAGAAUCUAAUUAGCUUCUGGUUAGCAGACUAGCAGUUACUAUAACUUCCAAUCCCGAUUGUGAUCAAAUGAUAAUUUCCCGAAUAAGAGAAGCAAAAUCAUAAUCACAUACCUUCAAUAGAAUUGAAUCCUCCAGCUAGCUUACCCUUUCCAUACUCCACGUUAAUAAUGGUACAUGAAUGGUGGUGGUCCUUAUCGACAAGUGAUUCUUUGUCAACCAUUUGGGGCUGCCAACACUUAUGUCUGCAUCUGUAAUGGAAAGAAAAGUAACACCCCAACUCACUAUAAAGCCAAGCCCCGAUAAGCAAUUCUAAAACCAGAUGAUCACCAUGGCUUCUCUAUCAUCUCCACUAGUCACCAAAACAACCAUUCCCACUUCAAAUUCCCUCUCAUCCCUCUCUCAGAACAGUUCCCACAUUUCCUUAGUCCAGAACUCUAAGCCUUCCUUCAUACGUAGUAGCAGGAUCAUAUGCAAAUGCACAAGCAGUAAUCAAAACCCUAGCGAUGAACAUAAACAUUCUCAUCAAACAAACCUAGACCGGAGAAAUGUGCUCAUUGGGCUGGGAGGUUUAUACGGAGUUGGUCUUGGCAGCGCCGACCCUUUCGCCUUUGCGAAGCCGGUGGCGCCACCAGACUUAUCCAAGUGCGGAGCAGCAGAUUUACCACCCGGUGCUACACCAAUAAAUUGCUGCCCACCAAUAUCUGACAAGAUAGUCGAUUUCACCUUCCCUUCCUCCUCUCCUCUCCGCGUCAGACCCGCAGCUCACGCCGUCGAUCAAGCCUACAUCGACAAAUACUCCAAGGCCAUUGAGCUCAUGAAAGCCCUCCCCGACUCCGAUCCACGCAGCUUUUCGCAACAAGCCGAUAUUCACUGCGCUUACUGCGACGGCGCUUAUGAUCAAGUCGGUUUUCCUGACCUCGAGCUUCAAAUCCACCAGUCAUGGCUCUUCUACCCCUUCCACAGAUACUACUUAUACUUCUACGAGAAAAUACUCGGAAAACUCAUCGACGACCCCACUUUCGCCUUGCCAUUUUGGAACUGGGACUCUCCUCCGGGGAUGAAGCUGCCAGCCCUAUUCGCAGACCCAAAAUCGCCGCUCUACAACGAGCUCCGAAACGCUAACCACCAGCCUCCGACGCUCCUCGACUUAGACUGGAACCUCACCGACACGCCGACGACCGAGGCUGAUCAAAUAUCGAGCAAUCUGAAGAUCAUGUACAGGCAGAUGGUGUCCAACGCCAAGAAGCAGCAGCUCUUCUUUGGAACAGCUUAUAGGGCUGGCACCGAUCCAUCUCCGGGUUCCGGCUCAAUCGAGUCAACUCCUCACGGACCUGUCCACGUAUGGACCGGUGAUAACACGCAACCUAACUACGAGGACAUGGGGAACUUCUACUCUGCAGCUAGAGACCCUAUUUUCUUCUCACAUCAUUCUAACGUUGAUAGGAUGUGGAGUGUAUGGAAAACUUUGGGUGCUACUAAUAAGGAUAUUACAGAUCCAGAUUGGUUGGACACAGGGUUUCUAUUUUACGACGAGAAUGCGCAACUAGUGCGCGUGAAGGUACGCGACUGCCUUGACUCCAAAAAGCUAGGGUAUGUGUAUCAAGACGUGGACAUUCCAUGGUUGACGUCCAAGCCAACACCGCGUAGGUCGAAGCUUGCGAAAACAGCUAAGGCAGUUGGGGUGGCGCGUGCAGCGACGUCCGGACCAAAGGUCGUAGGGAGAGGCGAUUUUCCCAUAAAGUUGGACUCGAAGAUUAGUACGGUGGUAAAGAGACCGAAGCAGAAGAAGAGGAGCAAGAAGGAGAAGGAGGACGAGGAGGAGAUACUAGUGAUCGGAGGGAUCGAAUUCGAGAAAGACACGGCAGUGAAGUUUGAUGUUUACGUGAAUGACUUGGAAGACGAUGAUGAGCCGGGGAAGCCCGACGACAGUGAGUUUGCGGGGAGCUUUGUGAACGUGCCCCACAAGCAUAAGGACAAGAAGAAGAAGAAGACCAAGAGUUGCCUGAGGUUGGGAUUAACGGACUUGCUGGAGGAUUUGGGGGCUGAAGAUGAUGAGAGUGUGGUGGUGACUUUGGUGCCGAGGUAUGGGACUAAGUCUCUCAAGAUUGACACUAUCAAAAUUGAGUUUCUUGCUGAUUAAGCAAGCCUAAUUUUGCUAUUUAUAUAUGUACGUAAACUGUGUAUGUCGUUCAUCUUUCAAUUUGGUGAUGAGUUUUGAACGUACGUACCAUUUGAAAGAUAAUGUUCUUCUUUACUUAUCAUCAACAAACAAAGAUACAUUUUUUAUUUUUGUAAAAAUGUUGUGAUACGGUGAAUUGGUGAUGGGGUUCCAUACGAUCGAUCAAGUUCCGAAAAAUAUCAUAAAGCUUGAUCAAGGUUUUGUUGGCUGCAUCUAUAAUCUUGACAACCAGUCCACUUGUUUAGAAUCUCAUCUUUUCUUUGGCUUUCUUUGUCACUCUUAUCCUUUUUUUGAUCGGGGAACCAAUCAAGGUGUUCAUGUCCUCCACUUGUUUGAUCCAAAACUCCCUAGAAAUCGAAUUGGAUAACGAAAACCGAAAAUAGACAAUAAAAAAAACAGAACAGUGAAAGAGACAGAUCAUGGUAAAGCCACCAACUUCUACCAGAAAAUGACUUCCCACUCUCCUUAUACAAAAAAAAAAAAAAAAUCCCACUCUUUUUAAAAAUCAAUUUCCACACGUCUGUGGUGUGUGUCUUGUGUAGUUGUGUUCCUUAUAGUCCCAAAUCGGCACAUCCUAUUCUGCCUUUACUAAGGAUGCUAAAUAAAUCUACACGUAAAGCCUUCUAUAAUAAUAUCAGCCUUCACUGAAGUCCCAAAAAAAAGAAGCAAGAACCCGGCAAGGCGCAUCAUCGUUUACAGACCAACAAAUUAGGAAUCGGCCUUUACUAAACUACCCCAAACAAAACAAGAACCUAGCAAGGCCUGUCAUGAUUUAUAGACUGCCAAAUCAGGUCUCAAGUUUAUCAACACUGAAACAUAUUCAACAGAACCUUGAAGGGAGGAAUAAGUAGAAAAUGCAGAGCUCAAGUUGAAUCCACAACACAAACAAUACAAAGAUCCUUAACAAUCCACAACACAGACAUACAAAGAUCAUGAAGUAAUAGUAUCUCGUAUUCUGAUUUACAUACUAAAGUAAAAAACCAACAGCACAGUAAUCAUCUGGUUUAACCAUGAUCAGGGAACAGUAGUAAUCAAUCCGCAACACAAACCAUACAAAGAUCAUGAAGUAAUAGUAUCUCAUAUGCUGAUUAGAUACUAAAGUAAUAAACCAACAGCACAGUAAUCAUCUGGUUUAAUCAUGAUCAGUGAACAGUAAUCAUGGUCCUAGAGGUUUUAAGUUGUGAUCUUCCUCGUUUGCUGUUGCUCCUUUGUUUGCUUAUGAACAAAAAAAAAUAAAAUCAAAUGGUUUAAUGCUUGCCUACUUUAAGUCUUCUUUACACUUGGUACUUCAGCUGCCACUUUAGACAUGAUCAUUCCCAGCCACUAUACACCCGUUUCCUUUUGCAACUGAAAAAGGAAAGAGCAGUCAGUUAAAAAAGGUACAAGCAUAGUAAUUAGCUUUUUAUAUGAAAUUCUUGUACACCACCAAAAUAUGUUCUGCAGUUUCAUUAUAGAUAUUUCCAGGUUAUAAGAAAACCAAAAAAAAAAGUAAAACCCCUUCUAUUAUAUACUAUAGGAGAGGCCUAUCAUAAAAUUAUCAGCCCUUGUAUUAUAUGCUAGGAGGCAUAUAGUGAAAUUAUGAUGACAUUCAGCUCCCUUCUUAUUAAAACAAAAAAAGAAAGAAAGGCAAUCCUUGUUUUGGCACAGGAUUGCCCAUUUUUAAUUCCAGGGUUUCUCUGAAUGUGAAACUUAUCACUUGGUAAGUUUCCAUACCAAGGCUCAAUCCAAUUAAGUCCAUAGCGUCUACCAAUUUCGCCAUAUCAUGGGGAUUGCCCCUAACACAACAUGUACAGGGAUACCACCAAGGCACCAACGUACUGAAAUGAACAAGAAAUCUCAUAAGCUUGGAAAGGCUGGAGCAGUUGCAUGCUGCUGUCACAGUGUCACUAGGUUUGACAGGUACCUCAUUAAAAUUGGGUAUUUUUAGUGUUAUGGUAAACCAUCCUCUCAAUACUAGUUUUGUGUUACCCUAAGGACUUCUACAUUGAGUUUCCAACUUCUAACUAUGGGGUGAACGAUGAGUAACAUGCUCAUCAAGGGAUGCUGCAUUAAGGGUGCUUACUCUCUGACAGUCCCUGCUCAAGCAAGCCUCUCAUCUCGCUCUCGAGGAUAUCAGACACAAGGUCAUCAACUCCUCCUCAAAAUCCAAGUCGCUUCCAGACUAGUAUGGCCAACAUAACGCUUAAGAGGGUGGACAAAAGUUAUGAUCUACAAAUUCUCUUGGAGCAUGGUAAAGCUAUGAUUAUAUUAACAUGAAACAUUGUAAAGCUAUGAUCUACAUAUUUUCUUAGCUACAUUCUUAGCUAUGGUCUACAUUCUUAGCUACAGGCAGCAAGAUUGUAUUAAAAGUGAAAAAACAUCGUAAAGCUAUUAUCUACAUAUUUUCUUGGAGCAAAUCUUGGUUACAUUUUCAGCAGUAGCAACGGUUUUGUUAAAAGUUCUUAGCUACAGGCAGCUUGAUUGUACUAACAAUGAAACAUCCUCAUGUUAUGAUCUACAUAUUUUCUUGGAGCGAAUCUUGGUCACAUAUUAUGCAGCAGCAACAGUUUAGAUCAACUAUGUUAAACAUAACAGGGUAAUCACAUGAUCUAACAAUAUCAAAGGCCAAAUAUCCAUGUAAAUUUGAUCUCAAAAUAUCAAAGAUUCUGAGAAAGAAAGAGUACCCUUGAGAGACGCUCUAGGCUUGCUCUUGCACGUUAGCCUCUCCCCAAAUCCAGUCGUGGCCAUCGUGAAGGAACUCGAAAAUGGAGAAGGCUUCUUGGCAGUGACGCAAGGCAAGGUGAAAGAGACCCAAUCCCAAUUGAAUUCGGGCCUGGGCUUCAGCAUGGAUUUGGGCCUUGACAAGAACCAGCAAAUAGCUAUGAAGGCCCACAAGAGCUGCGUUGAUCACGUCGUGUGCUUCGGCCACCGAUGCGAUCACAUCCGGAAAUGGCUCGAUCACCGGCGCCUGGAACAUCGGCUCGAUCGCAUUAAUGGCCAGUUGGAUUUGCCCAAGGCACAGUUGGAUCUGAAAUUGAGAUUCAUAAAUCCCCAUCAGAGCGCGCGUGAACCUCGCCGGCAGGCCCGGUAGGUUUCCGAUCAGCUGCCUGCCGUUAGAGACCCACUCCUGCCCCGCCACAAUUUCUUGCGUCGCGUGCUGCAACAUGUUGAGGAUCUGCAUUACCCGAUCUACCAGAUCUGCGUGAUCGACGCCGUCUCCACCUCCCUGACCGCCACCGCCGUCUCCACCUCCCUCACCUCCGCCGCCUCCACCACCCUGACCGACGCCGGGAAGGUUCUCUGCAACUUCUUCUUGAUCGUCGCCGAGGAAGAAGUCCAUUUUGCAGCUUUUGGAUUUUGAUUUCUUUGUUAGCAACAGUUUUUGGAAACCCUAAAGGUCAUAAAUGCUUAUAUCAUGACCCGGAUGGGACAACCUCGCUCUUUGGACCGGGUCCGGAGGCCCAACAAUUAAAGAAGCCCAGACAUCCUAGAUUUGGUUACCAAAAAAGGGGAAAAAAACUGUGUAUUUUGAAAAACCUUAUAAGCUCCAACUAGCCUUCCUGCACGCGCGAUCGCGUUUGCGAAAGGGCCGUUCUCACGUGUACGUUUAAUAUUGUUAUUCAUUGAUCAUCUCUGAUGGCUGAUAUUUACCUUGACAAAAUUAUAGAAGGUAUCUAGAUAAUAACGUAUCAUAAUUUUCAUUUUUUUUUCUUUCUCCUUAUCAAUUGCAUUGUGGGUGCAAUUAGCCUAUGGUAAAACAACUAAAAGCCAUAAUAUGUGCAAAAAUUGUCAAUAUGAACAAUGUAUCAACUAAAGGCUUAAACCUUGAUCACCACCUUCCGUUCCUUGCACGUUGACAAAGGCCUUCUAGCUUGAUGGCAAGGCUGCUCGUCUGUAACAUAAACAAAUCGAAAUCAAAUUUUUCGUCCAACUGGAAUCCCAAGCCUUCAAAUCUUUCCUAAAAAAAAGAAGACAUCAGAUUAUGUUGAAAGCAAUAAGCAGAGAGCAGAAGAUGAACAAUUCAGUUUUUCCUCUUUUUUCUUUUUCUUUUUUGAGGAUGUGAGCAGUUAGCAUACGUAAAGAAUAAGAAGAUAAGCUUGCAAAUGGUAAAGGUAGUGAUAAUGAACUGAACAACCUCAUUGGUUUGAAAUUUGAAACCUGAUCUCCUAUCCUUUAGUGUUUUAUCUUUAUUUUAUUUUGAUUUGGUAGAUUAGAUUUCAAAACCUUUAUUUUUUUUUCUAGUUUGAAAUCGUACAAAGACAAAGAUAUGAGAAGGUGAGGAACCUUUGGUUAUACCCUCAGUGAUGAACAUGGUCUGAGUGCUGCACGCAAAUGAAAACCUGAAAAAAGGAAAGAAGGAAAAAAUUUGGUUGAAGGUUAGAAAAAACGAAUUCUUGAUAUCAAGCACACCCAUUUGUUUCCCAUUAAAUUGUGCAUGAUAUUUUGUGUGUAAACAAACAGGAAAACAAAAAUCCCAGAAGUCAGUGUGUAAAACCAAUAAUUGAACAAAAGAAUAACAUGCUUAGUUAUCAAAUCUGGUAGCCUUCCCUCGAUCUCUCUCCUUUUGCAAUAUUAUUUUUGUUACAUAAGAUCAGCCUUCAUCCAUCAGAUUAUCGAGGAGAGAAGAAAUUUGUUACCUGAGAGGAAGGCAUGAGAGCAGUUUUGACAGAGAAGGAAGAGCAGUUUUGACAGAGAAGGAAGAGCAGUUUUAGCAAAUGUAAAAAGUGGAGAAGAUAUACUUGCACGUAAAUAGGAGGAAGAGACAGGUGCAGUUUCGUUUGAGAUACUGCUAAUCAACGCAUAACUGUUAUUUUGAAAUUUUAUCCAUGUAAUCCUUUUUAUUGAAUUUUGUCUUUUUUACCCUUCUUUUAUAUAUUUUUGAUUUGCUAUAGGGCAUUUAUGAGGAUUAAGAUAAAUUUAACCAUGGCAGUUCCAUAAGACAAGUUACUUUAAUUAAUAGAGAUAUCCUCUCUCCCAAAAUAUAAAAAGCCGCAAUUUUUUUUUUUUUGAAUAAUGAAUUGAUGACAACUUAAAAUCUUAUAACAAAUACAGAAGACAAUGCAAAUUUACAAACAGAUUAUUGCUACUCUGCCGGCGAGCGACUCUGAAAGUUAAAUGAUACGUACAAGGAAAUGUCCUUCUUGGUCGCGCACCCCUGGCCACCGAUAGAAUGGAAACACUUGCACCAAAUUUCAUGACCAAGAAACCUUCAGGUAUUCAUUCAACGCAUCCGUCAGAAAACCAGAUGUCCGGUAUCUGAAUGCAAUCCACCUGGGAAAUAAGUGAUCAAACAAAUGAAGCAAAAUUACCACGGAAACUACAAAGGUUUUCAAAUAUCAACAAGUAUGUACAAAAACUUAAAACUUCAAAGGUACAUAAAACAGAGUUCAGUUUGUAAACCUUUUGGAGGAGGUAUCCUUCUGUACUCAUUCAAAUCCAUGGUAUUCUGUACUUGCUGCACAAUAUAAAACCAGGUGGAGCACAAUGUCCCGGCUGGCUACUUUCUUAAGCCUGCAACUAUAAAAAAAACGAUAGGAUGUAUAAGACAGUAUCCAUGUAUUAACUAUACAGAUAAUGACAGAGUGAGACGGGGGCUAAGGACGACAUUAGGGGCACACACCAUCAGUCACCAUCUUAAACCAGUGAUAGAAAACAAAGCUAUGCUAGAAGAUUACCAUACAUCUUUUGGUGCAGUCACUAUCCCAUUGUUCUUGAGGCCACAAAUACUCAAUACUUUCAUCACUCCAGCAUGCCCCAAAAACAGCUCCAUGGUGUAUGCAUACUUGUCAUUCUUCAUCAAUUAAUCCAAAGUCCAACAAACAAUAGCUGAACUACUAACAUGUAAAUUGGUAAAGUGAAUUAAAUUAGUUUGCCUCGUAAUUACUGUAUCAGAACAAAAAAUAAAAAAUCCAAUAAUUUUUUGUUAAUGUUCAUAACGAGUGCCUCAAACUAAGACACCCAACUAGAUCGUGACUGAACUUGAAGUCAUUAGAUUAUUACCUAGACUGAUGCAUACUUGAUGUAAAACGGAUGUUUUCUGAGGAUACCAAGGUUUGGAUGUGCGGGGAAACAGAAUAUGGAUUUGACCUCAUCUUCCUCUCUGCAUCCCAAGCAUAGGGUUCUCUGAAAAGUAAGUCGUCCUCUCUCUUGAACAGACACCAUCAGACUGCAAAAACAAAAAAAAAAAACAAAAACAAAAAAAAAAAACUUGGGUCAUUUUAUAUUCAAAGAAUUGAAGAGUUGCUGUAAUUUAUUCAUUAUGAAUUUUUCAUUUACUAGGAAUGUUGAAAUCUUUGGAGGCUAUGAUAAAUUGAUAAGUGAAAAAAAAAAAAAAAAAACACAGACCUUGAUUUGUUAGUAUCUAAAAUGGAUUUCCUUUCUUCAUUAAAACUCGAAUCCAAGGGAAAGGAUCCUAAUCUUGUGGGGGGAUGCAUCUUCAUCAACCACUGAAAUCAUAUCCUGCCGCAGAAGAAAAUUCAGUCACAACUCAGCAAAGGAGUAGCAAUGUAAUGUCAAGCCCCAAUAAUAAAGAGGUGCAACAGCAUAACACAACUGGUGACAUUAAUACUAAUGACUCUGCUAUUAGAUGAAAGGUGUACAUUACAUAAUUUGUUAAAUUUUUAGAAUAAACAAGGGCGCUUGGAACAAACUUAGUGUAAAAUCUAGUACAUUCCAUAACAGAUGGCCGAUGAAACAAUAAAUGAAGCCUCUUAGUAAACACAAGAAAAGGUGUAACUAUAUUCGACUAUUUACUAAGUCCACAACUACUAUACUUCUUUGCAGAUAUAUUUCAGUCUGCCAUCAGAUGGAAAAAAAACUAUACAUAAUUCGAUGAAUAAAAGAGAAUCACAUUUCAACACCAACUUCCUAUAUUUUGUGUUAGAGAAAGAAAAAACUAACAUUUAAGAGUAUCUUGAAAAAUUAAUCAGUUAGAAAAAAGAUAAGAAAUAAGGCCAGGCACAUUUUGAACCCUGUUUUUUUAGCACAGAAAUGAUGUUCCAGAAAGGGGUGAUUUAGCUGUGUAUCAAAACAAUUUUUUAGCAUAAGAAAUAUCUACAGGAGCAAUUAUUCAUAAAUGAGGUAUGUAUCUGAUAGUCCAACUUCAUGUUACCCCUAUCUCAAAGAUAAGAACAAUUUGAGUUGUAUCUCCCAUAUAGUUAAGCAAAACCCAAAGAGCAACAAAACAUCAUCCUGGAAUAUGCUUGGUUGGAUAAAAGAAUUCCAAUUCCACUUGAAAAUUUAUCACGAAAUGAAAAGAAGAAAGAUACCGCCUAUAUUCCUAGCUUCUUAAAAAAAAAAAAAAAAACUUUGGUAUUAGGAUAGUAGGUUGUAACAGAGGCAUACCAAAUAUCCAAACAAAAGUCCACUCAUAUUUGGACACCAGUGGUGUAUAUAUAUUUCUUCCAAAAAAGUGUUGAAAACAUAAUACUUCUUCAAUGAAGCACGGGGCAACUCUCAUAACCAAAUCAUCAAGUAUUGCCUUAUUCUUACAAAUGUAACACUUCAAAUAAUUUGAAGAAAUAAAACAUUUGAGAUUCAAAUAUUAUUUUCAGUUUNNNNNNNNNNNNNNNNNNNNNNNNNNNNNNNNNNNNNNNNNNNNNNNNNNNNNNNNNNNNNNNNNNNNNNNNNNNNNNNNNNNNNNNNNNNNNNNNNNNNNNNNNNNNNNNNNNNNNNNNNNNNNNNNNNNNNNNNNNNNNNNNNNNNNNNNNNNNNNNNNNNNNNNNNNNNUUUUUUGUUUUUUUUUUUUUUGGUGAUGAACAAAUCCUCUUCGAAAUAUUACAGCUCAAAUUAGUUCCUUCAAAGAUAUCAUACAAAAACAUGCUACAUUUAACAUCUAUCUAAUACAUUCUGUAAUCAGAGAGUUACCAAUUCGGCACAGGUGCUUGGAAUGCACAGUUCUACCAAGAAUUAGUCUUGCAUGGGUAAUCCAGAUUGUUACAGCACAUUGUUGCUUUCUCAAGUCUUCCACACCUUAAUGGUGCCAUCUACGGAAGAACUAAUCAUGCAGUUGUCCUUAGGGUGAUAACUGACACUUGUUACCACUGAUGAGUGUGCCCGGAUACUUGAUACAACAGAUGCUUCUACUAGAUCCCAGAAGAAGAUCGAACCAUCCUCAGAUCCUCUGAUUACAUGGGCAUCAGAGUUGGUAAGGCAGCAGUCCAAUUUGUAAGACUUACAAGUAUGGCCUUUAUAUUCUUGAAGCAAUUCAGCAGAAGUCCUGUCGAGGAGACGUAUAGUUGAAUCUAAGCAGCUUGCUAAUAUGCAGUUACCAUCAUUUGACAUAGAUAUACAGUUCACAGGUUGUCCCAAGUCAUCGGAUAGUUCUCUUCCCAUACGAAUGUCAAAUGUGCGAACAGUUCCAUCAACACUUCCACCAAUAAUCUCAGUCUUUGUUAAACAAACAGACAUUACACUAUCCGUAAAUGAGUCAAUUAUCUGAAUAGGCUCAGUACUGUGAGAUCUGCAGUCCCAAGCACGCAAUGACUGAUCAUAUCCAGCUGAGACUACAACAGAUGCAUACUCGUUGAACUUCACAGCAUUCACACCUCCAUCAUGGCCUCGAAAUUUUCAAAUGACUCGACCGGAUGCCACAUCCCAAUAGAAGAUUUGUCUGUCACCACCACCUGAACAUAAUUUGGAGUUGUCUGAGGUGACAUGGACAUCACGGACUUCACGGCCAUGGGACUUGUAGGUUUUAAUGUGGAUGCCACGGUGAGGGUUCCACAGUCGGAUGGUUCGGUCUUUCCCACAGCUGAGGCAGUAAUUCCCGUCUUUAUUGAACCUCGCUGCUAAUAUUGCUCCCUCAUGCCCUUUAAGUACAUUUCCCUCCUUCUUUGGCAGAUCUGAGACACUCAUAUCCUUCCUACUUGCUCUCCGCUCACUGCUUGUUGAGCAGGCCACCUGGCAAUCUUCUGUAAAGUUCCCUUCUGGGUUUAAUAAAUCAGUUAAUUCAAGUUGGAGAUGGGAAAGAGAAAGACUGUGACUAUGGGAAAGACUAUGUGACUGCUCAGCGGAAAGAAACAAACUUUUUCUAUACUAGUGAAGAACAUAUAUAUUUAAAAUAAAGAAGAUCAUAUGAAAUUGUAUGGUGAUAGUUCUGUUGCAUUUGAGGUGAUGAAGCCACCUAUGUUCAGAUAACCAUUAUCGAGUCAAAUAAUAACCAUCUCAAACUUCCAAGGGAAACACAUCUAGAAAGAGAAAUUAAAAGCAGCGCAAAGAUGAAUUUUCACCCUAGCUUGCGGCCAUUUGGAUAAAAACAAAAGAAUUCAGUAGUUUGGGAUUUGAUCCAUCCAGAAUUUAGAAAAAUCAAACUUAAGAACCCGAAAUAACUUGUCAAACAUGUUUAUAUCAAAUCUUAUCUUGAUAUAACUAUUAUAAACACAAGACACCAUCUCAGGUAGAGCAUUCUGUUUCAGCAAAACAUUUAUCUGUCUCCUAUCAAUGCUCUAUAAUUCCUGAUCCUUAAAAUCUAAAUUCAAAUAUUUAAAUGCAUUGUUUAUACUCUUAGAUCGCAUCCAGAGGGCCUAAAGUUAAAUGCUUAGGUAAGAUCUGCAACGAGGGAUUGACAAGCAACCGCAUAUAUUCUCAGACCAACUCAUAAAACUAAACCGAGGCUAUGUUUGAAAUCGAAAACCAGAGCUUCAGUUGAUCUAAGAGUACCAGAUAUGAAAAUAAAUAAAAUAAAAUAAAAAUACAGAUCAAAUUGAGCAUACCAAUGAAUGUAAGAUAGAGAUAGGAUCUGGGUCGAAAGCCAAGCUCACAAAGAAGAUGAAAAUCGCCAGAGAGAUUAGGCUAACCUAUUUUCUUCUUCUGUUUUCUCUUUUGUUACAAGGUUGUAGGCCUAGUUUCGUUUCUAAGCCUAGUUUCGUUUUGUCCCGAAAACCCCUCGAGUUGAGCUUUUUAUAGCAUCGGUGAUUCGGGCUCUUUUUAUUUUUAUUUUUAUGUUUUGUCAUGUAAUUUUCUGUUUUACCCCUCUAAUUCUGUUUGCACUUUGCAGCUCCACCAUUAUCAGCCCUUCUCGUCCUGCUCCUCCCAGUGCUCCUUCAAGAACGCCAUACAACUAGCUCCACCUGCAAUAGUAUUCAUCCUCCUUCUCAGAUGUCCUUUCUUUAAAGCAACUGCUUAUACCCUAGAGAGUGAUCAUAAGUACUCAGCUCAGCAAAUUAUGUUUAACCAUUUAGUGUAAACUAUACAUUAAAGACUGAGAAUUUUCAAAUAGUAAGAUUGCAUGCUCUUGGAACCUUGAUAUUAGAUUGCUUCUUUUUGUUUAUCUAUUCUACUUUUGAUCGAUUUGGAUUUUAAGCCAUUUGAUCUUGGAUGUUCUUUUUUUUUUAUAUAAAAUUUGAUCUUGGAUGUUGCAACUGGAUGCUUAACUGAUUAAUUGAACUUCUUGUACUUCUUGCAGAUUAUAAUCUGUUUUGAUUUAGCCUCAGUUAACAUCAAGGAUAUAAGAACUUCCCCUAUAGCACAAUUGUUUUUUUCUUUGAUAUUCUUCGAUAUUUUAUGUUGGGUUCUUAUCAUUAUGCUUUUUGUUUUGCUCAACAGGUAGUAAAUAAACUGGACUGAUGAGGAAUGGUUCAGAAGUUCAGACAUUGCAUGUCGAUAUGUAGAACAUUAAGGGUCAAGUGAAAGGUAUAUAUACUCCCUUUCGAAAUCAAAAAUUGUUAAACUUACAUGGAUCUGUUAUUAUACUUUGUUCCUGAACUACAUAUCAGGUGCAUUUGCAUAUCCCGACUAUCUGCGUGUGAGGUCCUCAUAACCAAUCCUUAGGGAAACAAGUUAGAUAGAAAGGGUAUAGGUUCUAGGCGCCAAUAGUACUCCAAGUGAUUGUGUGAGCACCUGCAGAUGAAUUUGAUCUUCUGUAAAAUGAAUGAGGCAUAGAUCUCAUUUUUGUACUUUAUUUCUUCGGAGACAAGUAAUGCAGUACCAUACUCUGUUUUCAGGAAUUUGUUUGGUUUUGGUUACGGUUAUGCUUAACAAAUAUACUUGAAAUGCUACCAUAACUAAAUUUCAUCUAAUCUUUUGUUUUCUAUUAUGUCAGACAGAUGUCAAAGACUAAUCAUGCUUCAAAGGCAGCAGUGGUAAUUUUCGUAUUGUAAAUGUGCAGUUAUAAAUAAUCCAGCCAAAGUAAUAGGAAUUAGACCCAAGACAAUUCCAAAUAGAAAAACUUCAAUCAUUUCAAUUUGUUUGAGAGGGGAGGGGAGAGGUAAUAUCUACGCUUAAAUAGUAAUACGUAUCAACUCUAAAUCUCAAUGACCAAAAAUUGGCAAUAGGCGAAAGCCUGCACAAACAUCAUUUCCUGGAGAAGAAGCUAAUUUUCCUUCAAGUGCAUGCUUCUGUAUAUUCAGUAAAAUAGUAAAAUGAUUGUCUUAACAUGCUUCAAGUUAUUUCAUCCAAGUAAUAGUAACUAAACUUACAAAAAUAAAACGAGACUGAACUUCCUGUUAUUUAGGAACAGAGUACAGACUCCUUUUCUCCUCGCCUGUUUAUGUGAAAAUGCCUGUAAUAGUAUGAUGUACUUUCACAGAUCAGAUUUUGUAACAUGUGCGGAUGUGCUUAAAACAACUUGAGCUGUGCAUAUGCAGCGGCUUCAACUCUUGCCCGAUUACUAUUGCACAACAUCGCGAUCAUAAUCAUAGUGAAGAUCAUCCCAGAUAAACCUAUCAGAAAAUGUAAUAAUUAAGAACUUGCUGUAUAUUGCAUCAACUCUAGGUUACUAUAGAAACAUAUAUAUAUAUAUAUAUAUAUAUAACAAAAAUAUGAUAUCAAAAGUUAUAUCCAAAUCCUUUUAUUAGAUGAGAGUUAACAAACUAAAGCAAUCUGAUUCUUUAAAACCAUUUAAUAAGAAAUGAACUCCAAACCCGGGUAAGUGUCCCAUUUCUUCUUCACUUAUUUCUCAAUUAUGAUGACAAGCUAUCUAGAAGCUGCCUAUUAUAUGACAUAUCAUGAAAUUCGUAUUGUCAAAAGAAGCGGUCUAACUUUCAAGAUUUGAACUCCUUCACCCAAAUGCUAUAUUGUAUACCACCACUAAAGUUAUAAAGAAAAUUUAUAAGCUGGGCAAGACUAGACUGGUGCCUCACUCUAGCUCUAACUGAGUUUGACUGGUUAGUAUCUCACUCAAUCAACUUGGCUUAUUAUGAUGACUAUCAAGGAAUGCUGCAUUGAGGGUAAUAUCAAUCUCAAGUUCACUGAUACCUUGGCAAAGUUGAGGCAUUGUUUAUGGGUUCUUUUAACAAUCUAAGAUUACGCUAAUCGAUCAACCAAGAUUAUAUCAACAGUGAAACAAGGUAAUUCUACUAUGUAAAUCUUGAACUUGAUCUCUGAAAAGGAAAUGAAUGAAAGAAAUAGAGAGAAGGAAUAUAUAGUACCCCUGAGGUUCGAGGCUGCGGAGAAUGGUAAUGUUUGUUUGAAACUCAAGCAAUGCCAUAUUGAGGUGAGCCAAUCCAAGUUGAAUCCGGUAGUAUACGCCGCCUAGUGUUUCGCGGCGACCGAAGGAAUUAUGCACCACAAAACCGUGGAUGGCCAACGCCGACGAGCCCAUCAUUCUCAUUGCGACGGUGAUCACCCGAAUCUGCGCCGGAAAGUUUGGGCGGACGUCCGGUUGGGUUGGGAUGAAAAAGUUGAUAUCAUCCACGGCGCCUCGGAUUCUGAUCCCCGACUGCUCAAUGGAGCCCAUACAGGCACGAAUCGCGGCCAAAGUCACCGGCUGAUUGAUGUCGAUGUUGGCUCCGUGAAGCGGUUCGGCUUCAAGAUGAUUCACGCCGUCAGCGAUCAUCUGCAGCGACUCCGCUAGUAGUUCCAGGGCGGCCCGGAACCCUUGCAACCCGACAUUGACUCUCUCGUGAAGGUUUUGGUUUUGGUUCAUGCUGGAGGUUUUGGUUUCUUGAUUGCUCUGGGUUUCUCUCAGAAAACAAAGAAAGCUAACAGAAUUUGGGGGAAAGGGGGAAAUCCUUGCUUCGUAAAUUUGCACCGGGUAUUCCAAGGCCCAACAACAAAACCCUAACUUUGAUGGCACGGUCAAAGUGGUACCUAUACUUUAAAAAUUAUCAAUGUGGUACCCAAACUUCUAUUUCGCUACCAAGGAAAGGCUUGAGGCCAAUUUCCGUAACUGUGCCGUUAGUUUGCUGAUGUGGCCGACAUAGGGCCCACCAAAAAAAGGUGCAAUGACAAAAAUAACCUUCUAACUCUCACCAAAACCGUUUUUCUUCUAUAAGCUUUAAAUUUGAAUUUUCCUGGGUAUCACAUUGAUCAGUUCAGAAAAGUUUAGGCACUGCUGCUGUGUUUAUCUGCUGAUAAGAAAUAUUAUGCAAUAGCUAGAAAUGUAACAUAGAAAUUCAAACAUAGAACUAAAAAGGGCUGUCAAUAUCACUGAAUUAAAACCAACAUCAACAUGAGAAACAUACUAUACAUCAUAAUUCAAGCUUAAUUGGUUUCCAAAAACUCAAGGAACCACAUUGUUUGCAAAAAAUUGAUUCCAAACCAUGAUGAAGUACACAUUAUGUUUCUCUAAUUUAAAAGCCAACACAUUCACUAUGUAGAACCCCUUGCUGUAUGAUUUUGGCUGUUUUGAGUAGGAGGCUGUGUUGAAGCUGAUGCACUACCAUUUCCAGCAGAACUACCCUCCAUUGCUAACUUCAUUUUCUUCCAUCCCGUUUUAGACUUUAUGGCCUGGUCUUUAAUAGGUCUUGAUUUCUUGGGUGGGCCUGGUGCCCUUUGGACCUGUGGAACACAAACAAGACAUUUCCAACACAAUUCAACAACCAUUUUUAGCUUCACACUUCAAUAAGACAUUUCCAACACAAUGCAACAACAACAUUAUUUUCAACAGUUAACAAAACAUUUCAGCAAUAGUUGACUUCACAACAAGAACAACAAUCAACAAUCAACAAUCACCACCUGAUACAUACCUUUGCUAAGAUGUCUAGACUCAACUAUACAAAAGAUUACUCCUAAAAUCACUAAAUAUCCAUAAGUCCACCCAUUCCUUUACCCAUGAUGCAUAGCAUGCUAUAUGCAGACAUGCAUACUAAUAUGAAUCAACACAUAUCUUGUACAUGGAAUCAAAAUAUCAUCAAUGAAAUCAAGACAAACAGUGUUAACUAAAAUGACAUAACAACUAAGCACACAAAAUCAGUAUCCAAUCAUAAAAAGUUCUCCCCAAGGUCCCCCUACCUUUGUCAAUUCUCACAGUAAGUUCCUGACCAAGACAACAAGUACUUUUUAGUAAUGCAACUCAUUAGUUCCAGUACUCUAAAUAUAAAGUAUUUAACUGAUAAAACACCCAAACAAACAUGACAAGUCAGUUGAUCCGAAAACAAGUUUACUGAACACAAAGAACUACUGCAGUUUUCUGACCCAGUCAUCUUCACCACAAAAACUGUACAAAUCCAUAAGGAAUUUGACUUCAUGGCCUUCUAAAGAAAUAAACUAGACAUCUUAGAGAAGCUUUCAGAAUUUGAAUCACCUCAAAAAAAAAUUUCUGUAAUUAGAUAUGCAAUUUCAAAGUUCAGUAACAGUUUCAGGUUUUUCUGGAAAUUUUGCUAAAAGUGUCUAAACUUUGUUUUCAAAAACAAAACAGAAGAUCUAUGUGAUACAAAACUUCUAGGAACUGAACAUAAACACUCCAAUGUUUCAAAAAGAAGGAAAAAGAUACAAAACUUGCAACUUACAGACUAACUAAGAUCACCACAAAGAUAGCUAACAAAAUGUAAUAUACAACAGUCUUAACUUCUAAAAUUUCAGCAAAUUUAAAUCUAAAAUCAUGGUUUCUACUUUCAAUAGUAGAAACUAAUAACAUGUAUAAGAACCUCAUAAUCUAAUCAUUACAUAUGUACAAUCUCAUAUCAAAACAACAAAGAUUCAAAAACAAAGAGUACAAUUAAAAACAGAAAUCUGAAAUCACAAAACAACUUCCUAACUUUCUGACCAGUAAACUUUAUGGCUAAAAACGACACAGCUUGACUGGGAAUUUACAGUUGGUGUCUUCAUAACAAUUGUAAAAGACAACCUAAAGAUCAAUCAGGAACUGGAAUCGCAGCAAAAGGAAUUUUUUACAAAUACUUAUGAUUUUUGGAAGUUGUAGACCUGCAUCAGGAAAAUUACUGAUUUUGACUCAAAUCAGUUUUUGUUUACAAACUGACUAAGAACCUAACCAAAUAGCUGAAAUUCACAAAAUUGAUCAUCUAUUUCAGCACUACACGGACAAUUACACAACUCGUAGUUAUCAAAUCACGUCCAAAUUGAAGCAAACAAAGUUAGGGUAUUGAAAAUUGGUAUUACCUUCAGAUCCGAAAGAAGAUUUGAAGCUAUAUCGAAAUCAUUAUAGAUCAACGCCGCUUUGAAUCGCCCGAAGUUCUGAGUCAGCUAGUUCAGCUUCGCCUCCAUUCUCGUCUAAUUUGCUUCCCUCUCUGGUUUUCCCUUUCGCUUUUCUCACUCUGCAAAUCACUCCUGGGUCUUUCAAUUUGGAGACGAACAAGAGGACAGAGUUUGUGGCCGACUAGAGAGAAGAGAAGAGGGAGAUUGGGGGGUCUCUUUGGGUACGAAUAUGGAGGAGAUGGUGGACUGCGGAAUUUCGAUAGAUCGAUCGAGGUUUAAGUUUGAGAGAGAAUGAAGGGGAUGUAGGUGUUUGGGAUCUAGGUUUUCAAGAGAAAAAGUGAUGAACAUGCAGGUGCGAUUUAGAUUAGGUUUCAGAGAAGAGAAGAGAAAAGGGAGUUUGGGAGGAGAUGGGGGAGGGAAAUCGAGUUUUGACUUGAUUUGGGUGUAGGCUGUGUAAAAUGUCGUUUUUGCCCUUUUUUUGGUAGACCCGAUGCUGGCCACGUCAGCAAACAGACGACACCGUGACAAAAAUUGGCCUUAGGCCUUUCCUUGGUAGCAAAAACAAAGUUUAGGUACCACAUUGAUAGUUUUUAAAGUCUGGGUACCACUAUGACCGUGCCACAAAAGUUGGGGUACCGGUGAUGUCAAAACUUCUUUUAACUACAACUCAUCUAAAUGGAACGCUCGUGACAUAGAUAUGGGAAGACAAUUGAACCAAACAGAAUGACUAUCUCAAUUAUGACCGAGGUUAGCUAAGCUAUCUGCUACAAAAUUCACUUCACAAAAUACAUGUCGAAAUCGAAUAAAAUGAAAGUAUUGGGAGAGAAGUCUGAUAUCAUUAACUAACAGCUUGAUUCUCUAAGGGAUAGAAAUCUUGUUAUGAAGACAAUCGAUUGAAUCACCUUCAACCAAAUGUACUUAUGAUGGUUAAGAAGAGCAAAGCUAAAAGGGUGCUGCUAAAUGUACCUAACAAAUUACUGAGUAGAUCGAGCAAAACAAUUUUGUUUGGAAAAUAAUUUUAUCCUAAAGUGUAAUGACGUUAAUAGUCAUGAUAAUUAAAAUAAUAACAAAAAAUUCAAAUGCCCUUGUACCCAGCAAUUUAACAUGAAUAUGUUGUUCGUUCCGGUAAAAUCUAUAACCCGGAAGUUGUUCACUUUUUUGUCGUAAUACACAUGAUAUUGACAAAAUUCUAAGUGCAAAUAUAGUUUCGGAUGCUUCAUGCUUCUACUAUAGUAUGUUCAUUUUUAAUGUCAUUGAAAUAACUCAAUAGUAGUGUUGUAGUUUAGCGUAUUCCCGAUCUUCCUUCGUUCGAACUUUGUUCAGACAACAAGCACUAGAAAAAUAUUACGUAUUCGGCAAAUGGGACUACAAUUUGGCCGACAACCACCGAAUGGGACUAACUAUCAUCAUGGUUCAACAGCCCCCUUCCAUUGAGGGAUCCCUAUUUUUGGUCACUUUUUAGGGAUAGGGCAUUACACCACUUCCCAAUUGAAUUUUUACAUCUCCACCGUUCAUAUCUUAGGUCUAUAUGAGUAGAUCACCUCUACAAAAUUUCAUAUGAUUUGGUGAUCGUUAAGACUUUCAAAAGUUUGAUUUAGUUUUAAUGAUUUUGAACGGUCCAGCUUAUGUCAAACUAAAACCGUUGAAGGUCAUUAAAACUAAAUUGAACUUUUGAAAGCCUUAACGAUCACCAAAUCAUAUGAAAUUUUGUAGAGGUGAUCUACUCAUAUAGACCUAAGAUAUGAACGGUGGAGAUGUAAAAUUAUAAUCGGGAAGUUAGUGUAAUGCCCUAUCCCUAUAAAUGGCUUAAAAUAGGGAUCCCUCAUUGGAAGGGCCCUGCAUGGUUCAAUAUGAUUAAUUGCUUCAAAUUGCUUCAACUUAUGCUAGCGUGAUUUCUUCAGGUCUCUCUCUCUCUCUUUUGUCUCUAUCUCUCCCAGACUCUCAAUCAAACCAAAUCAAAUGCUUAAGUUUGAGUACAGUUUUUCAAAUUUUUAUGGUACAUGGAAUUUCUAUGUAGAGAACGCGGUCAUUGAGUCCACCUUUGGCUAUUCUUUGUCUAUGGUGAUUAUUUUGGAACAACAUGGCAAGAGAUCUGUCAUAACAUUGAGUUUUAUCAUUCAAAACAAUAAGCACGGGCAUGGAGGUAAAGAAAUGUGGAGUAUAUACAAGCAAGAUUUGAUUGGAAUGAAAAGAUGAUUCCAACUUCCAAGCAAAUUUUGGUUCUUGCUUGUUUGUUUGUUUGGGCCUUUGGCCCCCAUUUAUCCAAAAAAAUAUAUAUAUUUGUUUCUUGUGGUAGAGAUAAUCAUUUUGAUAUGAUAUGCAGAAAAUUUGUCAUUGUUAAACAAUGCAUUUUAUCUCGAGCAAACCAGUAAAAAAAAGGUGGCUUUCGCUGAGUGUGAGAAAUAGAGAGUGGGUUUUGCUUGUUGUGACUUGUGAGUUUGAGUGGGAGUUUUGCUAGAUUUAAUAAAAAAAUGGUAUUAUUGGAAAGUUGUUGAGUGUAGUUAGAAAUUUUAUAAUAUUGCUAGGUUUAUGAAGUUUGUUGGGUCUACUUAGCAAAUGUGAUGGGUACAUUUAGCAGCACCCAAGCUAAAACCAUCUCUCAGAGCAGUUGAUGAUAGUCGCAUAUUUGUGCGACUUUUAUCAUGCUAAUUAUUCUUAUUACUUAGUUAUUUUGUGAUGUUUUCCUAUUUUUAAUUAACUUUAUUUGUUUUUAGGUGUUUUAAAGUCAAACAAAGAAAAGGAGCUAAUUGGGCUUAAUUAGGAUCCCUAAUCCUAGUUGGACUGGUGAUGGACGUGACAAAUAGGUUCACUAACCUAUUUAUACAAGGGAGCAGCCAAACAAGAAAGGGGGAACGGAACNNNN